rnacentral:lncRNA from 1 species
GUGGAAUUUCCGGAUCAAAUGGUAUGAACCAGUUUAAGAUUUGUCCUCCACCGCCUCCUUAAACACUAUCGCCUAAUUUAUUUAUCAUAUGUGGUGACAACAUUAUUUCCCAGUUGUUGUUUGCCUAUUGAUUUUGUACCAUUCAUGCAGCUUUUUUUUUUUCCCCCAUGUUGCGGCCUUAUAGUUUUAGAUAUCCACAGCUAUCAAUUUUCUGAUUUGGGGAUUUAUUUCUUUUCAUUGAUGAGUACACUCACCUGCCUUGUUUUCCAUUCCGUUGCUUCAUUUUUUACAGUUAACUCUGAUUCAUCUGGAAUUCAUUUUGGUGUAUGGUAUGAAUUUGAAGGAGGAUCUAAUGUUGUUUUUUUUCCAAAUAGGUCACCAAUUGUUUCAGCAUCAUUUAUUGAAUAAUCCAACCUCCUUCCACUGAUUUCAAAUGGCAACAACUUCUCUCCCGUUAGCUAGGGCAAUAGUGUCCACAGGUCGGCCAUUUUCUUUCUGCCCCGGGUGGUCCCUUUCCGCAAUAGUAUUUGUACCUUCUUGCAGCUUCCGGUAGCAUUCUAAAGCAUCACGUUCGUGCUUAUGCCUUUCAAGGAUUCUAGACACAUGCAGUAUAGCUCAGUGGUUUUCAGACAGGAUUUUUAAAUUUUAAAUACUCCCAAACUGUACUUUUAUCAGAUGCUUUUUACAGAUUAAAACUGAGGGAAGUGAAUAUAUAAAACCACUGUCCCAGAUGUCCUAUUCCCCUUGGACACAGUUGGCAUCCUAAUUGUGGGUUCAAAACAUACCCCCCACCCCCCGGGGUUAGUGUUACUGGUAAGGUUCCUCCUUCAACCUCUUUUUCUACUCCUCAGGUGCUCGGAGAAUUAAAGCUGUCUGGACUCAGUUCCUGGAGUUUUCUAGAAUGGUAUAAGAAGGAAAUGUAAGAGCUGUGAGAGGAGCAGAAAUAAAUAACGCUCGCUGGCCUGUUGCUGGCAGUAGUCUGAUCUAGGGAUUUAAAGGAGGUAGACCGCAACCGUCUCUUGUAGGUAAGGACACACCCCAGUGCUUCACCUCUUUUCACUGCAGGCGGAAGGCUCAGGCAUGAAACAGACUCUUAGUCUUAGUGGGAGAAGAGUUAAGUGUUGCUCACAGAAAUAUUUGAUUAUUAAAAUCACCUGCCACCCACUGCUGACACCCCCCCCACCCCCCCCCANNNNNNNNNNNNNNNNNNNNNNNNNNNNNNNNNNNNNNNNNNNNNNNNNNNNNNNNNNNNACCCCCCAUCCCCACGUCUAACACAGCCUUCUUUGUCUCUUGACUUCGGAGUCUGGCCUCUAGCCUUUGCUGAUUCAGGAAGAAACACAGGGGGCAUGGGGUGGGAGGAUGCCUUGCGUGCCUUCAUUGCAAGGGGCUCUUUUGGCUCACAGCCACGGCCCGGUCACUUCUUGACUUGCCGCAUUAGGCUGUGAUUUGUUUGUGACUGGAGGCUGGUUUCCCUGGCAACAGCAGCUCGUCAGGGCAUGCGUGUUGACUCCUCUGCAGUGGCAGAAUGCGGCUGUGGGGGCCGCAGUCACUGAAGGCGCGCUUGUGCAGUCAUGAUGUCAGUUUCUCUGGGCUAAGCUGCCGUCGCUAUUGCAUAUCGAGCGUUGUGUUAUCUUGUAAUACUUGGAAGGCUUUGAGCUGCUCCCUUUUCCUUUCAAAUUACCUGCUUUCGCUGUGUCCAGCAGUGACCACAAAGUAUUCCCAGUGUUUGAGGCCACUGAUGCCCCCCAGGCCCUAAGGGGAUUCAUGGUAGUGUAGGCGCAGGAAACCGGCUGCUUGCUUUCAGACCUCCACCUCUUGCUAGUUGCGUGGCCAUAGGACGAUUACUUAAUGUCUCUGUGCUUCGGCGCUCUCAGAUGUAAAAUGCAGAUUAAUAAUGGCACCUUUAGAACAGUGUCUGUUACAUAGUAACGUUUGUAUGAGUGCUGGCAUUAUUAUUUGUAGGUAGUAAAGGACAAUUUGCCCUGAAAUAGACUUGGGCUGCAAUGUACAAACUUACCCUCUAAGGCCCACCGGUCACGUAACACACACACACACAUUUACCCUUGCAGCACCCACACUCUGCCCACGGCACAUGGACAGGCACACAGUCAUCUCCCACGUCACUCAGACUCCCCCAAAGACACACAUAUUCUCUGCGAGGCAGGAAGUCUCACCUCAGGGACAUAGACCUGCCCCACAUGACGCGGCUCGCCCUUCCGUAAAGACUUUCCCAUGACCCACCCACAGUCCCGACAUCACAGACUGUCCCAAUAGCACGCGAGCCCUUGGUGUGGCCCAGGCUCUCUAGCAAAUACGGACUUACCCCAUAGGACACAGACAUGUCCUACAGGACACACACCACAGAACGUGGCCUCUGCCCACAGCCCACAGAUUUCUCCCGGUGCCCCGCUGACUAAAUCCAGAGCUGAGAUUCUCCCGAGGGCACAGACUCCCCUCGCGUCCCAAAGACACUCCCUAGAGCACGCAGGCGCCCCACUUCAGGGCACGUGGCCUUACCCCGUAACACAGAUGCACCCUAGAGCACGCGGACUGUCCACAGAACACAGACGUCGCCCCAGAACAUGGUUCCUGACGCAGCUCAGAGACCCACGUGGGAAGGCACGCUCCCCCACGGCAGCUACACUUGCUCUAUGGCACAAAGAGAGGCACCGCGGAACGCAUGCACACCGCCAGGCCCAGUUCGCUCCACAACAAAUACAGUUACCACACGACGCCAACCCUUGCCUCACGGCGCGCUCAUUUGCCCCACAUCUGGGCCUUCGCCGGCCACGCACACUUGUGAGACAAGGCGUGCCGUGUCCCUCUGUCAACAUACGUGCCCCAUGUUCCUUAGACACGCUGCAAUAAAUAGCCAUCCCUCUUCCCCAGUGCACAGCACCGCAUCGCAGCGUGCACGCGGGCCCGACGACGGACAGAUUGGCUCCACAACAGACACACUCGUGCCGCGGCACCACCUAAUCUGUCUCCAAGGUGUCCGGAGCCACUCCUCAGGGCUCACACAGCCACCCCUCAGGGCGCAGUCGCAGACGUGAUCCAGACUACCCUCACUCAUUUCGCAACACGGAGCCCACCCACAACACACAGACCCAUCCCACAGUACGGCACCCCCCCCCCCCCCCCGCCCCACAGUGCACAUGAACGUGUCCCAGCACAUUAGCAGACAUACUUGCUCUGCAACACACGCAAACACGACCGAGCCCUGAAACUCAUCCUGAGUGCACGGACGAGCCCCGCCGUGUAAUCACACUCACACAACUUACAAUUCAUGGGCUGCCUGUAAACACAUAGAUUUCUUCUGCCGUGUACGCAUCUGGUCAUAGCGUGGACUCGUUCUAACACAGCAUACCUACACAUCACAUGCACAGUCCCCGGUUCGUAGACACGCAACACGCGUAUUACGCCUGCGAGGCGAAUGUUUCCAUCACGGAUCGCGGACAUAGCUCACCACAUUACUGAGCUCCAGCUCUGACCUGCAGCACAGACACAGCUUGUGUAGUGGUUAAGAGCAAGGCCUCUGGACCCAGACAACCUGGGUUGAAAUCCAGAUUCCACCCCUUUCUAAUUGUAUCACCUCGGGUAAGUACAUGUCUCUGUUCUUUAGUUUGCUCAGUCUGUAAAACAAAGGUAACAGUAGUACCUACUCAGAAGGGUCGUCGUGAGUAGUAAAUGAAUUAAGAUACGUGAAGUGCUUAGUACAGGCACCUAGAAACUAUGCAGCUGUUCGUUUAUAUGACCGUCAUCCCCCCACCGAAGCCUUACUGUUAAAGUGAAAAAGGCCUACCCCAAAUACCUAGAAUCAUCCGGCAACACAAAGAUUGGCCGCGUGAUACACGGGCUGGCUUGAGAACAUGUAAAAACACGCUACAGCACACAGAUACGCCCCCACACCCCCCCCCCCCCCCCCCCCCCACCGAGCACACACAGAACCCUAAACCAGAUGCCACUCACAAUAGACACAACUGUAUCACAAUCAACAAGUUUGCUAUUCGGUGCACAGGCUUGCUCUAUUAUACGCAGGCUCACACCACAGUAUUCAGACUGGAUGCAUAAAGCCCGGCCUCACCCCACGAGGCACAGACCUACAACACAACACACACCCACGUACACACACACAAACACGCAUCCAUGCACCCUACAACUCAGCAAUAUGCCCCGUAGCACACCAACACAUCCUCCAGGGCUCACAUUUUUGUUGUAUAAUGUGUGCAUAUAUUUUCUAUUCACAAACAUGCUCACGAACGUACAAGACUUGCACCAUGAUACUGAGACUCAUCCUGCGACACACAGACUCACCCAACAGUUCGGGGGUUCCCCAGGAGGGAGACUCAUGAUAAUACACAGACUCAUCCAAAGACACCCAGACAUGCUACAGUACGUAGAUGUGCUCCAAAACAGCUUAGCAUGUCCAGACAGACCCUGUACGAUACACGGAAUUGCAUUAUAACAUUCAGAGUAAACCCCCAACGUAAGUCCUCUCCUAUAAAGUAAGGCUUGCCUCAUGAAUACGGAGAACACUCUAUAAUACCUAUUACAUAUCCCGGGACACCUAGGGGUACUUCAGGAUGGACGGAGAAGCCUCGCCAAGCUCUCCACUGCACGGUGCACCAUGCGCCACAGCCGAACUCCACAACGCACAAACUCAUCCCCCCGCAAAACGCCCACUUGCCUCUAUCGUGCAAACAAACAUGUCCCACAACACGAAGACGCUUCCCAUGGAUAUGGACCGACCUUAAAAUGCACAGACACAUUCCUCACGAACGCGCCCAUGUGCACGUGCCCACACACACACAUUACAACGCCCAGAGGCAGCGCACAAUGCACAGACGGCCCCCUCGGGAAGGUAGCCGUUAGCCCCAGCAUACCUGGAGACCCCACGGCACACUCCCGCCUCACACAGCACGCUUGGUUCCCCCACGACUCGCGGAACUGCGUCACAGUGUACAAACCUACCCUCUAAAGCAAAGACUUGAGCAGCUAGACUGACUCCACAAGGCACAGGUACGUGCCGUAAUCCAGGCAGUAGACUCUCAAGGAAACACACCUUUCAAAAUAGGUACUCACACAAACGUGCCAAUUUCUUUGAUUGCUUACAGAAUCGCAUAACCACAUGACUUUCCCUUAAAGCAGAGACUUCAUGCCACUUACACAGUUGGCCCACGAUAAAAAGCCUGCCCACGCUGACAGUGCACACAUGAGCCCCACAUUACUUGGAUCAAACAUAUAAUCCCUAGGUGUCGUGUGACGCAAGAUACGCCGCCACAGCUGUGCGUGCCCCGCAAGGCCCAGAGACAUUCCAGAAGCACAGCACACCCCAAAACAAAGGGGCAGUGUAGAUUGCAGUUAGAAGCUGACACUUAGGAUUCAGACUGCCUGGGUUCCAGGCCCACAGGGACUGUUGACUAAUUGUGUGACGUUGGAAAGGUCUCUUAACUGCCCUGGGCCUUAGUUUUGUCAGGUACAAGUUGGAAUAAUAAUAGUACCUACUUAGUAGGGCUGUUGAGAGGAACAAACGAGUGAACGCCUAUAAAGUGUUGAGAACAGUGCUUGACACGGAGUUAGCGUUAUCGACGUUAGCUAAUCUUGUUGUUACUGUUAUUGUUGUUGUUUCUACACAUGGAACUGGACUGUGCUGCUAAGACUUAAUCGGAAAAAAUUCAAAUCAGCCCAUGACACACGGAGUCCACCUACACGAAGCCCAGAAUCCCACCAUGGCUCCCACUCUCACCACCGUUUGCUUACGAUUCCCAAAUGACUGCACACAACACACCCACGAUACAGAUUCACCCAUCCAUGCGAGGAUUCACCAUGUCGGAUUCACCAACUAAACGCAGCCUCUCCUAUACGCACGUGCCCUUACAACACACACGCUCAGCACGGAACACGCUGGCCGGCGUGACGUAAGGAACGGAUGAGCCCCACAGUGCUUGGAUAAAAUGUGUAAUCCCGAGUGUUCUCCAUGCACAGAGGAGCCUCGCUUCAAAAUCCCUGGAAACAGUCCACGACACGUAGCCUUGACCACCACACAAAGUCACAUCCCACUGUCGCCGUCACAGCCCACACAUCUCACUCGUACACCCCAAGUUGCUCUCUUUCCACAGGGCCCACGCUUGCUCCACCAUACCAGGCUUGUCCCUCAGCGCGUGGAUUGCCCCCUUCCCUCCAAGCAGAUCUGGAGCGCACAGAAUCAUGGGACAAAGCAGACGUACCCCGCAGCGCCCGUAUCAGGCACAUGACACGCACGCCGGCUCCGGUAAAUACCUUCCUUUCACAACACCGAUGCCUGUCCUGCAACGCCCAGACCGGAUCCACGGUACCUCGGCGCCUCGCCCGACCACGCACUCAGCACCACGGUGCACACUUCUCCCACGCAGCAGAGACAGGCCACACAGCACGCCGUCCUGCCCCACCGUGCACCAUAGCCUCACAACACCCGGACAUAUCCCCUAAUGCACAGGCACUCCCACAGCGCCCAGCUGCCCAAGGGAACAGAAUGAUAUCACAACGCAAAGGCCCCAGACACCUUCGGUUGUCUCCACGUAGUCCCCCGAAAGAUAUGCAGGUGCAGAGAAUUCAGAUACAAGCUGUAACCACAGACUCAUCCCGCAACCUGCAGACAUGUCCCGUCAUACACAGGCAUCUCCCACAAUGCCCACGUGUGCCUGCAUCACCCACGCUCACAUCGGAACAUUCAGGGUCACCUCGCUGCCCAUAGAUUACAACCCACAAGCUUGGCCCACAACGUACACGCGUGCCUCUCGAAGUAUGGACCUGACCCUAACCCACAAGCUUGCCCCAUUGUGCACAGAGUAAUAACAACACGAUGCCAGGGUAGGCCCCACAAGGCCCGCACUGUCGCACAACACACACAGUCAUUGCGUAGCAUAGUCACGUGCCACAGUGCCCCGUAUGCCCCCCAACGAAGCACAGGUAAACCCCACGGUGCACAGGCCUGCCUCCUAACGCAGGCGUGCCCCGCAACACAGCCUCUCCACACACAGGUCGGAAUCACAACACACAGACUCACUCUCUAAAGCUGAUUUGCUCCACAACAGAUGCAGUCACGCCACAGUGAAAAUACGAGAGCCACGGCACCCAGGCUCACCGCAAAGCGUUCUCCCCCCGUUUCUCUACCACGCGGAGGCCCUAUAAUGCAUAGAUAUGCCUCUCAACUCACAGACUUGCCCCUUCACACCUGGACACACCAUACAGUGCGUAGACAAAUGUCGGAGCGUCUCACGCUCAACACGGACAUGCCUCGUGUAACACGUAGUCCACAGUGGACUUAUCCCACGACGCACAGGUCCGCCCUACUGAGUUUGAUCUAAUACCACAACCCCUAGACUUGUCCCCGCACACAAAGGCCUAUCCUGAGAUGCACAGACAUGUGUCACAACGUCCAGAACCACCCAUACCCAGAGUCACUCUACGAUACCCCUAGCUCCUUGCACAGCCCACAGAAUUGUAAAAAACCCAAAGCAUGGACACAAAUGCACAACUCAGACGUUUCCCAUAAAGUACACAAUCAUAUUGCAAAGCACUGAUAUGCCCCCCACAAGGCACAGUAUCAAGUUACAGUGGGGGCAUGACUCUCAUGCCACAAGACUUCCCGCAAAUCAGAAACAUGCCCCAACAUGCAUCUCUUCCGCGACACAGUCAUUCGGACAUUCUCUACAAUUCCUAGGUCGAAUGCCAAGACUCUGCCCACCACUCGCAGACCCACACAAAACCACACCAGAGUGUGCAGAUUUUCCAUGAGUUGUAUAGGGUCAACUCAUGGCACAUAGAUGUACCACACAAUAUUCAGAGUUCAGACACACACACACACACACACACACACACACACAACUUUUACACACAUGCCUCAGCAAAAGAUGGAGCCAGAAACACGUGGGGUCCGUGACAACACGCGAUCUCCUGUCCCAGCAAGGUAUGGAACAGCAUCACAAGGCACAAUCCAUCCUACAACAUGUAGAACAAUCCCACAAUUAACAAUUAAUUAAUUAAUCCCACACUUACCUCAUGGUGCAAAGAUUUGCCCAAGCGCUGCACGCACAUGUACUGCAACUCGUAAGGACACCCUACAACGUAGGGUUGUGCCCCCAGAUGCACACUUCUGCGACACACAGGAUUACAUCACAGCACAUCAGCUCACAAUUCAAGAUGUAGAUAAGCCCAACACACUUUUGCCUCACGCCACACUAACUCCACAAAUCCCAAACUUGCCCCCAAACCCUAACUUGCACAGAUUUGACCCACAGCAUCUCAAACUCACAGUACAACACACAGACUCUAAAAAUCGCUGCCAAGUCAUAUUAAAACACAAAAACGUGCCCCCAUGGAAACCCUCACCGAGCCCGUGCUUGCCCUGUAAUGGAUAGAAAGGAACAAUGGCUUUCAAACUCAGCUCACAGGUUUUUGAGUUGCCUCACAAUGUGCACAACCAUGACCAACGACUCACAGACCAACGACUCACAGACCAACAACUCACAGACCAACGACUCACAGACCAACGACUCACAGACCUGCCCCAGAGAACAAAGGCUCCCCCACUGCACACUGAACGCAAAAUUCCCAACGUUGGGCUAGACACUCACGCUCGGCCCCUAGUGCGCAAACCCAGCCUGCAUCAGACACAGCAUAGCACAUAGAUUGGCCCUCACUUAGAAUCAGCUGAGAACCCACAUUCGUCCCACAAUGCCCAGACGUACGCUACAACGUGCCGACAAUGAUCACGGCUUAGAUACUCCCUGAACGGUGCCCAGAUUCCAGUAACAGCGCAGAGCUGUCUCUGUGAUAUUCACUCCACAGCGUCCCAAAUCGCACGAGCACCCACACUUGUUCCAAAAUGGACAGCUUCUCCCACAGCUGCAGACAUCCUGCAAUACGUAGAUGUGUCAAAUAAGAUACAGGACCCAUCCCGAAACACACAAUAUCGCGUAACAACUUAGAGACGUUUCUCAGAACAUGCACCCCGGGAUCAGUGGACUCCCCUAAAACAUCCAGUCGCAUCCUCAAAGGCCUGUCCGACCCCACCCACCGCCACCAGCAUUCUUGUCUAGGAGGUCUAAACCACACCACAGAAAACAGACUUGCCCCCCAAUGCACGGACAUUUACACAACUCUCAAACUCCUUCUCCAGUGCACAGACUUUCACCCCUACACACGGUGCUAUCCCACACCGCAGAGACUCAAACACAAAGCAAAUAACGAACCCGUCACCUACCACAACUACCAGAUAUCUGCCCAAACACACAGACGCACACCACGACAUGCCUGUGAGCUUCACAAUAUCCGACUGGCCCAUAACCCCCACGCUCACCCCUCAACACUGAGGCCAAUUUAUGAUGUCACAUAUGCUCCAUGACGCGAGAUCCCCACCACAGCCCGUGGAACCCCAUCACAAUGCACAAAUUGACCUCACGAUGCAAACAUUUUCCAAAAAAACGCCGAGACUUACCCCGUAAGCCAUCCAGUGUUACCAUAAUACCCAGAUUUGCCUCAAAACUCAGUUUUUCACCAUAACACUACAGAAAUGCCUCCCCAUACCUACAAUGAAGUUACAACGAACAGACUUGCCCCACAACGCCCAGACUCACCCCAUAACAUCAAGACGUGCCCUGUCACCCACAGUUAAGUUCCACAAUGCAUCAUCUCCCUAUAAUGUACAGUGUCACUCCACCACAUAAAGUUACCCCACUGUGGUAAGAACAGACUGCAGACAUCCAGCCGCACCCCUGAAUUCAGUCUGGCCACACAAUACGAAGACAGGUCUUACCAUGCACAGAAUAGCUCCAUGGUACCCAGAUAGAGCUAACUUGCUAUAGGCAGAGGUGCCUUAUAGCACAUAGGUUUCUCCCACAAACACAAAGCUGCAUUCGGAUGCAAAGAUUCAACACACACACACACACACACACACACACACACACACACACACAUUGCACAAGACACAUACCCCCACAAAGAAAAACCUAUAUCCCCCAAACCCAGAAUUGCCCUAUGACACAAAGACUUGCCUCACAGGAUGAAGACAUUUUUCACAGUUUUCACCUCACCAGACAUUCUUUAUAACUGAGCCUUGCCCCACAAGGCACCCUUGAUCUCCACAACCUAGACACGAUCUAUAGUGCACACACCCCCACGACACCUUGGCAAAACCUCCAACGAGAAGAUGCGUCCGACAAUGUACAAAGUACCUUGAAAACACACAGGCCCUCCGCCACAAUCCCAGGCUGGCCACACCAUGCUCAGAGAUUUGUCCAACACCAUAUUUGCGAUCAGCCUAUAUCAUACACACUUGCCCCACAAUACACAGCAUUGGACCACAACUUCUAGAAAUUCCGUAUCAUGUACAGACACAGUCCCAUACCUGAGAGACUCUCCCUGCUUUAAAAAACCCACAGAUACCCCCACGAGGCACAGACAUACCCUACCAUGCACACUGGCUCUAUGACAAAACAGUUUGCUAUAGAAUCUCUAGAAACAACCCAUGACACAUAGUCUCACCCCAUACUCCAAUAUAUAUCCCACAGUGUGCAGAUUGCAAUGCAUACUCCACACCUAGACAUGCCCUACAACGUGAGGACGUGUUCCACCAUCCCCAGAUUUUCCUGAUAGUACCUCCAAAGAAUCACAGCCACGAAAGUCACAACACCCAGAAUCACUCCCACAAAGCAAGUGACUCCAAAUCAGAAGCUCAGGACUCACAGGACCCAUAUUUCAUACAGACAACCCAGAAUCCACGGCUUCACCUCAUCCCCACCUUGCUACGCUUCCCUUAAUGUGCACCGAGAACAGCCUCGCAGGACACAUAUGAAUCAUGCGAGUCACAGACUGACGUCACAAGAAACGCACUCACCAGACCAACAGUUUCCUGAUACACCACAAAACCCGCAUACGUGCCCCACGACACCCAGACCCACCUACCCUCAGACAGGCUCACCCCACAAUGUAAAACUUAUCACCCCAAAACGUGUAACAUCAAGGCACGGUACAAAGGGAUUUUGCCGUAACAGAUUUUCUCCACCGCCGUCAGACUCACCUUGCCUUACCAGACUCGCCCCACAACACUUAGCGUCCCACCGUAGCACAGGGAUUGUUUUUUAAACAUAAUUUAUUGUCAAAUUGGUUUCCAUACAACAUCCAGUGCUCAUCUCAGCAAGAUAGCACAGAGAUUAUAGCUAUACAACCAGAGACCUAACUCAAGACGCAUUCACCACAUGGCAUCUAGCGUCACAGGGCUACACAGAGACGUGCCGCCUAACCCAGGAACUAGAUCUGGAACACUCAGACUUGCCCCACAGUCCUCAGAGACUCAUACCACGGCACAGACAAGAUCCACACACGGAGACGUAACCACGACACACACAUUCACCCCAGAAGACCCACACUUGCCCCCAACUGCACAGUCUCAUUACACAAGUCUCAGGAGGCCUCAUCCACCAAAAAGAACAGCACAGUAUGCAUGCUCACCCUGGACUAUAUGGCUUCCCUUCACGAGGCCCAUGCUCACUCUAUCACACUUCCUCCUCAACAACACGUUGCCCCACAGGGUACGAACGGAGGACCUCCACGCUCGCGCAGAACUCUGACGAGUGACUUGACUUUUCUGAGUCUGGACGCCCAUUUGUAAACAUGGACAGAGUGCUUCCUUUGAGGUCAUCCCGAGAAUUCAGUAAGAUAAUUUCAAGAAAGAACCAAGGUUUAGAGCACGGUCUUUGGAGGCAAACAUGCCUGCUUACUGGCGCUGGAACCUGGGCACAUUCGAUGGUAGAAAUGGUCAGUGGUAGAACAGAAGGAAUGUGGCUUUGGUGUCCAUCAGGCCCGUGUUUGAAUUCUGCCCCUGCCACUUGUUGGCCAAAUGACCUACAGGACGCACUCGGACUCUCCGAUCUUCAGCCCUCACGUGUAAACUGGGGGUGACGCCGGCUCCGGCCUCUUAGUCCGUGAUAAGGAUGAAAUGACACCAGUCCUCUUCAUCUGAAUGUCGAGGCAAAGACAAGUAGGAUGAGCAAGAAAGUGGGGGUGACUCUGGAGCCCUCUGUAAUAGGCAAGCCUGGGGAAGUGGAAGGUGGGACGGAGGCUCUGUGAUGGGUGGGCUUUGGACGGCCAGGCGGCGGCAUGCGGGCUCUGCCUGGGGCCGGAGAGGAGGAGGAAGGUGGGUGUGUGCCAGGGUCCCCCACAUAAAUGCCUGCGACGGUGGCGGGAUUUGAAGAACUGAGGAGCCACCCACUUUUUGUCUUCAGAUUAUAAAAAACCUGUGUUCUUAGACCAUAGUCACCAGCUUCCAUAAUCCACAUUUUUCCAAAGAGUCCAUAUUGUAAUGUUUAUUUUCUUGGCUGCUUCAAGAGUAGGAAGAAAAGCUUGAGCUCCUUCUGCUGGCUGAGUCAUAGACAAGCAGGUGUGGAAAUGACCAGAAAAGUUUUUCGGGAAGGAAGUGCUCGCAUCUGUGCACACAUAUUCAUCAGAGAUAAGUACACGCUAGAACGCACACACACACGCACACACACACACAGUGCCACAGAUAUUCACACUGACCCAGACCUACAGGUGUGUCAUAAUCCCACACACCAUAUAUUCUUACAGCCACAGCCAAAGACCUAUGUUUUCCCAAGUAUGAACAUAAAAUUCGGAGUCCCAACAGGGGUCAUCUCCUACAUACACAGAUACAUAUAUGCAUACACACAGGUACACACAAAUGCCCACAGCUCUGUGUGUAGGUGCAGAGCAACAUACACUCACAAACACACAAUCCACACUCACACAGACCCAGGGAAGCGUGCAGAGGCAUAUACGCUGACCUGGCCAGCAUCCAGAGGACGUGUUUACUGAUUCGUAGCCUCAAAGAUGCAGAAUCACAGAUGCACACGCAUAUAUGCACUUCCAAAAACACGUAGAAGCCUCUAGAGGCUCAUGAGGCAUAGACACAUGCUCAGACACCCCUCGACAUUUAUGCAGAGAUGUAGACAGGCAUAUGUGAACCCACACAGACACACAUGUUUGCGUGUGUGCAUGCGUAUAGACAGAUGCAUAAAGUCAUCCAUACGUGGACACGGGUGCAUGUGUAUUUACUGAGAUGCAGACACAGAGAUAUGAAUGCAAACAUUGAAACAUAAAGAGUCAUUUGCGGUUAGACACGUGUGUUUUAAACAUGUACUUACCGGUGUUGUCAUGCUUAUAGAGUCACAUACGUGUAUACACAGCAGCAUAGUUGUUAUUGUAGCACACAUGUAUAAACAAGUUUGUCCACAUACACACCGUGAAAAUUUAGUGUGCACAUGUGCACAUGCAUGAAAAUGCAUAUGGAAGUACAGAAAGGAAUGUUCGUGCAUGUGGGUGUACAUGUGGAAAUACACAAGCACGCAGGUGUACACAUAUAAAUACAUUUGUACAUGGAGACGUACACAUACAAAACAGAUACAAAACAGAGAUUUCGACUUGCAUAUACACAGAGAGAUAGUGGCAUAUACAUUUAGAGAGAUGCUUGUCUAUCUAGAGAGAGAUGUAUUAUAUAUAGAUCCAGAGAGAGAGAGAGAGAAAACAAUUGGGCAGAAAUGCUUUUAUAUGCAGAAACAUAUACCCACACUUAUAGACAUGGGCCUAAAGACCCACACAAAGAUAUACAUGGGCAAACACUUCUGCACUCACAGAGACUCACUCAGAUGCACAAGGGGAGCAUGUAAAGUCACAUACACGCGCAGGAGCGCACGUACAUUCACAGAGAUGCAGGCAUGUGCACAGAGGCAGCGGACCCACACCCAUAUAGAAUCACGAAGAGAUGGAUACGGAAGUUUGAGCAGAUACACGCAGAGACACAUAUACAGAUUUCCACACAUGCAGGUAUUCCACACGGAUGUACAGAUAGACACGGAGACCCACAGACAUCCACCGGAGCAAACACAGAGGCACACAGAAGCACGCGUGUCUGUUGAUCUGUGCACCUAGUCUUAGAAAUGCAUGCGCACACGGGCAGAAUCCAGGAUACCCUUCAGACAUACAGUUGUGCAGACACUUGUAUGUACCGCCGUGUGUGUGCAUGCAAACAUAGAUGAGUGUGCACACCACAGAAGCGUGCACAAACACGGCCAGACAUGUACACACAGACAUGAAAAAUUCCCACGCAUACAGAGUCCUUCUAUCAUGCAGCAACACGAACAUCUGCACAGGGACGCACAGAUCCAUUCACCUGGAGAGCCAGCCAAAGAAAUUCCUUCUCGCGUAGACAGAUUGAUGUAGACACACUCACGCCCGUCCCCAUGGACAUGCAGAUGGUCACACACACAGACACACGCAGAGGUGGCCGAACAGAUGGAUGAGCACUGAGGCACGCACCUGUGGAGGUAGAAGCACCUCGUCACAAAGAGGCUUCCAGGCAAGGAUGUACAGGUCCAGACCCAUUGACUCACACUCAGACACAGGCACAGACAUUAUGUACUCACAGACCCGGACACAUGCCCCUACUCACACAGAUGAAUAAUUGCAAGCGGUGAACAUGAGGACAAAACAUUUCCACACAGACAUAGAUGCCAUUGAUACACAUGGACUCAUGCAGAGAUAUAUACAUGAGAGUAUAGGUACAGGUCUACAGACUUACAUAUGUACACAUAGACAUGGGCACUGCCUCCAAAAAAAACAAGAUUUCAUCUACUCAGAUGGUGACACACUCCCAACCCCCCUUAUAGGCACAUGCGCACACAACUCUAUAAGAGCAUAUGUGUGUGCAACAUACGGGCACAUAAAUGCACAUGCACAUGUCCACUCAGAUGCCAGCUGUACCCACCCAGAAAUACACGCCCUCGGCAUAUAAAAGAGACGUUCACACAUAUAUUUGCAGACAACACGGACCUAAACAUGGUAUAAAAUACACACAAAUGCACAGACAUGCACCUUCACAUGUCAACAUGGAUACACAUUGUCACAUGUGUACAUACACACAAAUAAUCUACAAAUGUACUCCUGUGCCCACAUGGCACUCAAUCCUAGACGUGCAUCAGAUAUAUGGAUGCACACACAUACAUGUGCCAACAUACACAUAUAGAUGCAUACAUGGACUCAGUCAUGCUGCAAACAAACAGACACAUGCACAGAUAUGGAGACAUAUGCAGAUUUAUACAUGUGAAAAAAGAGACUCAAAUACUUACAAAAAGACACACAAAUAACACUUUUUCAAAGGACACUAUGACUUUUAAUGUACCUUUUUCUUAGCCUCUUCAAGAGAAAAUGGAAAUUAUUGAGCUCCCUCCAGUGACUAUACAGGAUAAAAGCAGAUGCAAAGAUUACCAGAAAGAGAUCUAAAAGAUCCGGAGUGCACAGGUGUUUGUGCGCAUGCGCGCGCGUGCGCACACACACACACACACACACACACACACACACACUUCCACAUGCACAGAACCACACAGAAGCACAGAAAGACAAAUAUGCAUAACCAAACGCAGAAAGACACAUAGACAGGUGUGCACACACACACACACACACACACACACACGCCCCACUGAAACAUCACACAGUAUACUGUUUAAGGGCAUGGCUACUGAAUUAGGAAAAACAAAACAAAACAAAACCUGCAUUUUCCUACUAACUGAAUGGUUUGGGGCCAUUUUCCUGCUUUCUUACCUGUAAUAUGGGGUAAUAUUAACACCUAUCUCUUAGAGUUGUUUAAAGUUUCAGUGAAAUGAAGGUUUUAGCCUUCUGCUUGGAACAUCAUAGAUGCUGCUUUUUGGGUUUGCUGGAACUGAAGUUCUUAGCUGCAUAAGGUUUGGGUUUUAUGAUCAAAGUGCAUGGUUCUAUAAUAGAAUGUAUUAAUGUUAUUUGUAGAUGGUAUUAAUGAAGGGUAGGAUACCUUCAUAAACAAGGCCAUUUAUGAAAUUUUCAGAGAUGAUAAAGGCUUAUUACUGUCCCUGGAAAUGGGAACAAAUAUUUCCUGUAAUUAUUUGUUGUGAUUGUCGCUGUUAGUCAUAUCCUUUUCCUUUUUGCAGGAGGAGAUUGGAUCAUUGAGAGAGCCCUUGGAAGAGGGGAAGAGGGCUGCAUGCCCAGUGCAUAUUUGCCAUCUAGUGACCAUAGUGAGUAAGUGCAGUGUUUGUGGAUUGCUCAGAAUAUCCCUACAAUUUCACCCAUUGCAAGGUUGCAUUACUGGCCUGGCAAAUAAGCUGGUAUACUUCAACUUAUAGUGGUUUCUGCUAUAUUCAGAAAUUAAAAAUGACAACAAAAUAAAAGAAAUCUCUCUAAAUUUCCUUUCCCCCACUUAGUUUUCCUCUGGGCUUCACUGAGACUGUGUUCUAUAGCAGUGGUUUUCAAACUUUCCAAGUAUAGGCCUGCUAAAAUAAUUUUGAGAAAUCUCAACUCCAUCAUCCUUCUUGAAGCUGGCAUCUGAAAUUUCUUAUCGCGUGUUUAAUUAUUUGUAGUUAUUAUUUCUAUUCUAGCAUAUUAUAAAUACUUAGACUUUUAAAUAAAGUGAUUUAAUCACAUUUUUAUAUUCAUUCAGUGAACUAAAACUACCAUAAUAUCUUGAUACUUGUCAUUGUUGAUUUAAAAGCAAACAAAGGGAAAAAAAACAUGGUCAGAAACUUUCAUGAUAUUAUCUCCCUGAAAUCCCCAUUCUAUGUAACUCCCCUCAAUAAUUUAUCCUAAUGUAAUAUAUUUUUGUGUUUAAAAGCCUUUACUGGUCAUCCUACUGUACAUCUCUAUGUUUUAAAUAUGGGUUGAAAUAAAUUUUCCUCUAAUGUUAAGUUUAUUAACUAUUAAACUUUUUAUCAUUGAAUUAUUAGUAGUAUACAGUUUCUCAAAACAAUAUGAAAUUUUACAUAUAUUUAUAAGUACUUACUAAAAAUUAAAACUCAAAUUUGGUUGGAAAUACAUCCUUUGAGUGCCUAUAGUUGUUAUUUCCCCCAAAUUAGUUCAUGACUCUAAGGAUGACUGUUACUUCUAAUGAGACAGUACAGUAUAAAUUUUAUUCCUAUUUUUCACAUAUAGAACUCUAAGAACUCAGAAAACUUUGUUCCCAUAAAUAGGUAGAAGGGAAUGGAAUGAAUGGCCAAGUCAUAAGUCAAAAAUCACAGUGAUCUGUCACCAAAAAUAAUUUUUAGUGAUUUAAAUGUUUUAAUUAAAAUUUAAAAUUCUUAACAGAGAACUUUUGAUUAGGCCUAUCCUUAGUUCCACGAAAGCAAAGAAGCCCCAAUUUUACAAAAGGAUUUGUUGCCGAAUCAUUUAUUUCUGAGUUUUCUGGUAAGUUUACCAAAAUGACUUUACCAUGCUUUAGCAAAUGACUAUAAUAUCGGUCAUACUUUCAUUUUGAGGCGUUAUUUUUAAUCCAAUGUGCUUACAAAAGGUUGGAAAAAUCAAAAUACUUAGAUGAAUAUGCCUUAGCCGAUACAAUAAUUUUGACAAAGUGCCUUGAAUUUGUUAUACCCUUUAAAUAUAAGACUUGGAGGCUUUAACUUCGGGUCAUGAUUUCAUAGAAAAUAUUUAUAAUAUAACUUAAUUGGCAAAGGCAAUGUCCAUAUCAAAAUAAUCAGCCAUAUCAGCUGUACCUUCAGAAAAAGUGUUCUACUUCAUUUCGCAGUGGAAAAAAGAAACUGAUAUGCACUUUGAGGAGUAAAUAGAUUAAAUAUUAGUAGAUUAAAUAGACUAAAAUUAUAAUGACAUUUUUAUCUACUUCAAAAUAAAUUAAGAAAUUAAUAAUUUUGUUUCUCAUGUGAUUUUAAAUUAGAGAAUGUAAUAUGUAGGUAACAUAAUUCAUGUAUGAAACAAGAAAUCCGAUGGCAGACGUAGUUUCCUUUGGUAAACACUUAUGCAUAUGUUUUUACAACUCUGGUGUCGGGUUUCUGGAAUAAUUAACUAGGAAUCAUGUACAAAAAUUUUAAAAUUCCAUUAAUUUUAUUAGACCACAGAAUCAAACGUUUCAACCAUAUUUUAUUAGGAGAAAAGUAUACAUAGGUAGAAAAUAAUCGGUCUGGAAAAUACCAUAUUUUGUUUUUGAAAAUGGGAGGUAGAAAAUACUUAUAAAAUGAAAUGAGGGUUGACUUUGAUUGGAAAAGAUAUUUCAAGAUUCAACCUGAGAAAACAGGUUUUCACUCAUUUAAUUGAAUGAUGGACCUCAUAAGAAAGAAAUCACAUACAAUUUCUAUGCAUCGGUUUUUCCAGUGUCACCAUUUUGCAAUAUAGGAAAACACUCUAGUUAUAUUUGCAGAAUCAGCAUCAGCAGUCUAUCCUGCUGUUAGUCAAGACGUGCAUUUCUUUCCAGUUAAUGAUGCAUUUAAGCAAGCGGUAUUGAGAAUAGUUGCAAACUAAUGCUUAAUUUUAAGCACGUGGGGAAAAAAAAGUUGUUAUUAGGCAGAUAAAUUUUAGUAGAGAAGAUCCACGGGAGCUGAGAAUCUGAGAGCGGAUCCCAUGCAAACUAUCCCUGCUCGCAUACUUCUGGAAAAGAUUUCAUGUACCAGUAGCCUAGUUUGAAGACCACUGCCCUAGACUGUUUUCAGCAGAAUUGCUCUAGAGCAUAUAUUGUUGUCAUCAUUGAGGUACUCAGUUCAUUGUAAUUGACAUUCACCAGAGUGCCGUGGAAAUAGCUGCCACUGUUGAAUUUCUGCUGAAUGUUCUGGAAGGGAUUAUUUUAUUUUGCCGAUAAACGUAUGUGUUGAUUUGACCUGCAUUGUCCCAUACAGGAGCCACAUGUGGCUAUUGAGCAUUUGAAAUGUGGCUGGUGCGAACUAUGAUAUAUUAUAAGUGCAGAAUACAGUCUACGCCAGAUUUCAAAGACAGGGCAAAGAUAAACACAAUAUUUCAUAAAUAUUUUUAUACUGAUCACAUGUUGAAAUGGCAAUCUUCUGGAUAUAUUGAGUUCAAUAACACAUAUUAUUAAAAUGAAUCUUACCUACUUUGUAAACUUUUAAAAACGUUGCGCAUGAAAUUUAAAAUUGCAUCUGUAGCUUGCAUCAUAUGUAUUGUACAUGAUGGUGCUGCUCUAGACCUUACGUUGGUGUUCUCGAACUUCCUCUAAAAGCAUGACCACAGGAACAACUGAUCUGUCCACGAAUCUGGUUCGGUAUAUUGGUAACUCUUGUGAAGCUAGUACCUUUUACCAGUGUUUGGGUUUUCAGGUUGGGGGGUUUCUAGUUGUAAGCAGGAGAAAGUAAAAAAAACCCUCAAUAUUCCACCAAGGAUAUUUAAAAAGUAGUCUUUUAUUAGCACCUAGGAAUUUUCCCAGUACGAACUUUGGGUGGCUUCUCAGCGGGUGCAUGGGCAGCUUUUCAGACUCUUCCAAAAUGCCAGUGGCAGAUAUGGCAUUCUAUUGAAGAUAUGAAGUAUUUCAUCACAUUUGAGAUGCUUUUUUAUGGAAUUAAGUUUUUAUGUAACACCAAGAAAGAAAACAAACACCCCUAAAUAAACUAUGAUGUAAUGCUUUCAUAUCCAUAGAAUUUUAAUUUUAUAUUUACUGAGAGAGCUCUUUUUGGCUUAUUUAGAUACAUGUUUAUCAUAUGUCAUGAUACUACAAUAGCCAUGACCAGAUUUCAGUAUAUACACAGGCAAUGACAGCUCCCUUUCAACUGCCUCCUGGCUGACAGCGAUGGUAAAAUGCCAUUGAUUAUAAGGUGCAUUCUGAUUUCAGAGAUGUAUAAAAGGCAAGAAAAAAUACAUGUUGGAAUCGGGUAAAUAUGUAAGUCAUUUCUUCAGAAAAAAGGACCAUGGAGGACAGAAAGCAAACCCUAAGACCUCCCCCUAGCGAAAACACCUGUGCUGUGUUUGCAGAAAACAAAAUGUGGCUCUUAUCUAAAAAUUUAUCCCAGCGCACUUAAAUGACAUUGCAUUAUGCAUUUCAUCUUAGUUGUCGUUUCAUGGUUUUCUUAGCAUUCUUUAUUUGUUUCCUGGCUCGGGAGUGGGAAUCGUGGUAGGUGGAGUAUGGCUGGGGAGACUGGAUCUCUCCAGACUGAAAAGGUCUAGCAUCUCUGUUGUGAGAACCACUUAGCACAGUCUUGUGUGAGGCUGUGCCUUCAAUGGCACUGUUUGUUCUUCGUAAGUGGGCUAACAGAGGGGGCCUUUCUCCUUGUGGUAGUUUAGUUUAAUUUUAACAUAUUCAUUGUAUCCUUUCUUGACUGAAGGGCUUGAGAAGAGGGACGAAUGGAGAUCGAGCGGCUUUUUGAGUUUUUGUUUUAUAUAGUAUUCAAGAGGGUCAGCAAGAUGAAUCAGAACUCCACAGGAAGUACAUUAUCUCAAGAAUCAAUGAAAACAACCCUAGAUUUGCUAUCCAGGAAUUGUGACACAUCUCUGAUUCUAAUGAUACUCUUGACAAUAGAAGAGAUUUACAAGAGGUAACAGAAACAAAAGUUUUCAUGAAAUGAGAAGAAUAAGAGAACCAAUGACAUGUUUCCUUCAUUGCCCCUACAGUGAAGCAUUAUUCUAAGAUUUACAUAUCUCUUAAGGGUUCAAAAGCAGGGCCAGCUUCACGGACUUGUGACUUGUGCGUCUCAUAGGGCUCCAUGCUUGGUUUAAGGCUCUGCUGUCCUGGUCUUGACAUUCUUAUUAAUAAGUUUGGUAAAAGGGGCCCCACGUUUUCAUUUUGCACUGGGCCCCACCAAUUACGUAGUUGAUCCUGUUCAAAAGGAGACACUUGAGAGAGAGAGAAUAAUGAACUCAAGUUGCGAAGUUAAAUUAGAAGUGUUGCUUCUCUAAUGUUAUGCACCGAAACUGAAUUCUUUAUGUCAGUACUCAUAAACAUAGUAUUCAUAACCUACCAUUGCUGUUGUUGUUGUUGUUGUUAGGUGUAAUAGUUGUCAAAGUAGUAACAGGAAUAGUAUUACUCAACAGUCCCUUAUUUUGACUCCCUCAUUUAUGUAUAUGACCUGGGGCAUCUUCUUUGUCUCUACUUUCUUUCUUUAAAUUUAAAAAUUUUUAUUUUAUUUCAUUUUAUUUUAAUUCCAGUACAGUGGACAUACAAUGUAAUAUUAGUUGCAGGUGUACAAGAUAGUGAUUGAACACCUCCAUACAACACCUGGGGCUCCUCAUGACAAGUGCCCUCCUUAGUCCCUGUCACCUAUUUCACCCAUCCCCCACCCCACUCCCCUCUGGCUACCAUCAGUUUAUUCUCUAUAGGCAAGAGUCUGUUUCUUGCUUUGUCUCUCUCUCUCUCUCUUUUUUCCUUUGCUCAUUUGUUCUGUUUCUUAAAUUGCACAUAUGAGUGAAUCAUAUGGUAUUUGUCUUUCUCUGAAUGAGUUACUUUUUAAUGUAUUUUUAAAAUUCUAUUUACUUAAAAAUUUUUUUUUUAGUCUUUAUUUUUGAGAGAGAGAGAGAGAGAGAGAGAGAGCAAGUAGGGGAGGAACAGAGAGAGAGAGAGACACAGAAUCCAAGGCAGGCUCCAGGCUCUGAGCUGUCAGCACAGAGCCCGACGCGGGGCUCGAACCCACGAACCCNNNNNNNNNNNNNNNNNNNNNNNNNNNNNNNGCCCGACACGAGGCUUGAACUCACGAACCACGAGAUCAUGACCUGAGCUGAAGUUGCCCCCUCUUCUUUAUCCAUUCAUCUGUGGAUGGACACUGGGUUGCUUCCAUAAUUUGGCUAUUGUAAAUAACACUUCCAUAAACACAGGGGUGCAUGUAGCCCUUUGAAUUCGUGUUUUUGUAUUUUGGGGGUAAAUACCCAGUAAUGUGAUUACUGGAUCAUAGAGUAGAUCUAUUUUUAAAUUUGGGGGGAAACUCCAUACUGUUUUCCACAGUGGCUGCCCCAGUUUGCAUUCCCACCAACAGUGCGACGGGGUUCCUUUUUUUCCACAUCCUCACCAACACUUGUUUCUUGUGUUUUUGAUUUUGGCCAUUUGACAGGAAUGAGGUGAUAUCUCAUUGUAGUCGAGAUGGGAUUACACCUGAUGAUGAGUGAUGUUGAGCAUAUUUUCAUGUGUCUGUUGGCCAUCUGGAUGUCUUCUUUGGAGAAAUGUCUGUUCAUGUCUUCUGCUCAUUUUUUAAUUAGAUGAUUUGGUUUGGGGGUGUUGAGUUGUCUAAGUUCUUUAUAUAUUUUAGAUAAUAACCCUUUGUUGGGUAUGUCAUUUGCAUAUUCUUCUCCCGUUCAGUAGGUUGCCUUUUAGUUUUGUUGAUUAUUUCCUUCGCUGUAGAGAAGAUUUUUAUUUUGAUGUAGUCCCAGUAGUUUAUUUUUGCUUUUACUUCCUUUGCCUCAGGAACAUAUCUUCAAAAAUGUUGCUAUGGCCAAUGUUAGACAUUACUGCCUGUGCCCUCUUCUAGGAUUUUGGUGGCUUCCUGUCUCACGUUUAAAUCUUCGAUCCAUUUUGAGUUUAUUUUUGUGUACAGUAUAAGAAAGUGGUCCAGUUUCAUUCUUUUGCAUGUAGCUGACCAGUUUUCCCAGUACAACUUGCUGAAGAGACUGUCUUUUUCCCAUUGCAUAAACUUUCUUGUUUUGUCAAAGGUUAAUUGACCAUGUUAGCUGUAAGUUUAUUUCUGGGUUUUCUAUCCUGUUCUGUAGAUCUGUGUGUCUGCUUUUGUGCCAGUACCAUAAUCUUUUGAUGACCACAGCUUUGCAGUAUAACUUGAAGUCUGAAAUUGUGAUGCCUCCAGCCUUGCUUUACUUUUUCAAGAUUGCUUUGGCUAUUUGGGGUCUUUUGUGGUUCCAUACAAAUUUUAGGGCUAUUUGUUCUAUGCGUCUCUAUUUUUCUUACCUAUAAAAUGGCAUUGCCAUUACACAUACCCUCCUUAACCCUAGAUGAGGCUAAUUUAGAAUCAGAUUGAAAUGCCCAGGGAAGUACUUGUGAACUGUAAAGGCUAAAACAGAUGUAAGAGCAUAGAGUCUGGGCAGCAGCCACCUGCCUAGGGGUCCUGGGGGCCUGAGUUGGGCUCACCGGUGAGGUUGCUCUGGCCCGUGACUGUAGAACCCAGAGGGUUCUAAAGCCAGAAAAGCAGUGCCUCUGAAAUUUCAAGAGCCCAAGCAGUGCAUCUCCUUACUGUCGAAAGGGCCGGGUCAAGGCACCUGGAUGGAAAUCACAAAUAUGCAACACGGUUAGAGGGUUGAGUAAAGAGGAGAGGAAAGUAAAGAGGUUGAGUAAAGAGGAAAGAGGAGAGGGUUGAGUAAAGAGGGUGGAGUAAAGAGGAGAGUAGCUGGGAAAGCGCCUCUGAGCCCCCGGGGCAAUGCCACAGGGCUUUUUCUAGGGCACCUGCAGCUACAUCCAGGGUUGGGGAGGAAAUGGCCAAGGAUGCUAGCCACCUCAGACUACCACAGUUUUCUUAUUGCCUAGAAUGGAAGUGUAUUUAGAGUUGCCAUUAUCUGCGUAAGAAAAGGAAACUUUUGUCCCCAUUGUGGGAAGGAACUCAUUUUCUCAGAAGUAAAGAGGGAAAGUGCCACAACAGAGACCUUGAGGAGGUCAGGAUGCAAGAAAGCCUGCCAGUGAUUUCCAUGGUGAGUCCUCCCGGCCUUUGUUAAAAGCUUUUGCUUUUAACAGUACAACGGAGAGAUGAACGUAGCACUUCAAAUGAGGUCACGGGAGAUGCCAUUCAAAAUAUCUUGGCAAUGUCUCCUUGUCACUGAUGGGACAUGGAGAUCGAUGGUUUGCAUUAUUUCAUACAUCAGAGAUCUCUGAAGACUUUGUCUCUUGUGGGUGACGCAAGCAAGGGUAGGGAUGUAGCUUUUUAGGACUGAGUGUCCAGGAGAAGACCGUUUUCUGGCCAGGACGAUACAGUGUAUUUGGUCGCAUGUCUCUGUUGGGAAAUAAGGGGUGGCUGCGUUGUGCCUGAAUGAAGGGGUGAAACGGCUGGUAUGUGUUUGCACUAUUUUGAUUUUUUUUUUUUUUUGCACCUGAGUUUGCCCACUAGGCCCAGUCAGUGCAAGGGCUGAGGACCUGGUAAGCUAAUAGCAAAGGGCCAGUAUCUGGUCUGUGAGUGGUUCAGAUCUGAGACUUACAGCUUCCUAGCACCUUGACUUGAGGAGGAUGCAUGACAGACCAGAUCGGGAAUGGAGACAAGGGACAAGUGUGCUGAUUGGGCAACUGUGUGAGCGCGUCAUUGAGCGGGUUCAUUUUGAGAGGUUUUCGUCACAAGAGAACCUGCAAAGGGGAGUUGGCUGUAGCACAUAGAGAUCUGGGUGCAGGCAGAGAGAUCCGUGCACAUGAGAGGGUAAGGAGCUGGGAGGGUGCUGUUGGGGGGCUUCGUGAAUGAGUUGGAUGGGGAGUUGUCUGUGCAGGUAUCUGUAACUGACUUAGUUAAGCUCUGCUCGGGUCGGGAUAGGAGCUCUUUUGAGCUACCUGUGGCUCUGCCUGAAAUCCCUACCGUGUUCCCAGACCAGCAGAGAGAGGCCGUGCCCAUUGGUGAAGGUAGGUUGGGAGUUCGGUAAAGUUCUCAUUUGUAAUAUAAAAAGAUUUCCAGUGUUUCUCUUAGGACCCCAGUUGAGGCUGAGGACCAGAGAAGGGAAGAUGAUAAUAUAGUCUCAAGUUGCAAAGAACCCUUAAAGACCAUUUAGUGCAGUCUCUGUAUCUCCAUUUUGAAAUCUGCAAUAAGUAGUUUCUUCUACCUUGGUGUGAACAUCUCCAGUAUGGGGCACUCCGUGUCUUCUGAGGUGGCCCAUUCAGUCUCUGGCCAUCUUUAUAGUCCUGCCUCUUGUUGGACUGAAAUCUGUCUCCCCGGGAUGCACAUUCUGAACCUGGGGCAAGUCACUUCCUGCUGACACAUGACCCUUUUUAAAAAAAAAAUUUUUAAUGUUUAUUUAUUUUUAAGAGAGAGAGAGAGAGAGCACGAGUGGGGAGAGGCAGAGAGAGAGAAAGAUACAAUCUGAAGCAGGCUCCAGGCUCUGAGCUGUCAGCACAGAGCCCGACGCGGGGCUCGAACCCACGAACCCUGAGGUUGUGACCUGAGCCGAAGUCAGGCGCUUAAUCAACUGAGCCACUCAGGCGCCCCGACACAUGACCCUUUUGAUCAUUGAAGACAGUUCCUGUCUCAUUGAACUCUUCUCUUUGCCUAGGUUAGCCUCUCUCUGCCAUUCCCCAUUUGACAAUUUUGGCCCCUGUUCCCCUUGUUUUCUCCUUCUCGACAGGGUACAAAAGUCAGGUACCCUCUCACCAGGGUACUAGAGUCUUACACUGUCUGACCGCCUGUUCCUUAAGCUGAAUAUCAUCUCUCUACUGAGCGCAUGGCAUUUACGGUCAGAUUGUUGACUCUCUCAGAGUUUCCAGAAGUCUAAACUGAGCUUGAAGAUGCCUGAAACAUGCCUCAGUAAGAACAAAGGGGUAGCCGAUGCUUGUGACCAAAAGUAGUUUCCCCACUGAAAGUUAGGUCAUGGUGGUACAGGGAGGAACGAAAUGGAGGGUAGAAAGUUAUGUGGCAUGUUGUCUUUUGUUAAGAGCUUUACUAUCUGUUUUUCCUCAACGUAUCCCUAAUUUAUUUACAUAUCAUUUCAUAUGGAGUCUGGGAGCCCGAGAAAACAUGGAAAGAUAAACCUUAAAUGGGGUUGAGGAGCUGUAUUAAUCACACACGUCGCUCAUGAUGCAGCAGGAGUGAGCUUGAAACUUCCUUUCUCUCUUUAUGUCCCCCUCCCCUGACACAGUCUUAGGAAUGAACAACAUUACCUGCGAGUAGAGGGAAAGAGGACUCAGUCACUAAAGAAUACAGCAAGGCGAUUUUUUUUCUUCCUCUAGAAUUUCGCUAAUAAGUUUGCUCACUAGAUGGGCUGAAAAGUGUGCUAUGUCCUGCAUCUAAAUAACUCAACACUAAUCCCCAGUAGAAGGUAAAGAAGAUGUUAUAUGGUGGAUUCACGCUUCAGACAAAUGAGGGGGAGCAGGGUCCAGUGUGAUAUUCCUUCUUGAGAAUGUUCCCAUUCCUGGCUCAUUUACAUAGCGCACAUCACAGUAAUCACUCGCUUAAAAUCAUGUAAUUAACACUCUAUGCAAGGGUUAUUUUACAACAAGAGAGGUGAUAGCUACACAUGUAUUUAUGGACAGAGCGGACCACACUAUUUAGUACUGGGAGUGUUCCGGAAAGAAGAGCCAUAUGGAUGCAGACUUUGCUUGCAUUGUACCAUAUUCACAAUUACAUAUUCUGCCCCCCCACCCCACACCUCCUUGCCAUCGACUCCACUUACUGCUCUUUCCGCCUUCGGUCUUGGGACUGGAGUUUUCCUAGUUUCGAAUCUCGUUCCUCGCCUCUGCCCCACCCGAAGUGUCCUGAGGAAAACAGUGUGUAAGCUUCAAAUACAAAACUGAGUUCAUUUAGAAAAGGAAAGAGAAAUACAUUUUUCCUGCAUGGGAGUUUUCUUAGUAGGAGAAAUGAUAAAUACAAUAAGCAGGCUUUACUUAGGUCAAGGGUGCGCUGAGCUGGGAUAUUGUCUUUUUUCAAAGUUUGGAAAUCUCUGGACCAGUGAACGAAGAAUUACAUUGGAAUGUGUUGGAUCUUGGCCUGACUUGUCACGCACAGCAGCACGGGCCCUGUGAGCCUGUGAAACCGCGUGUAUUGGCUUUGACUGGAGUCGUCUCAGCUGGCGGUGGGAAGGGACAGCCAUGCCCAGCUGCCUUCACUGGGAGCAGACCUUUUGGAAGGGGCGGGAUGGGGCACAGGCAGCAAAGUUCCUCUGGUGCCCUGGCCCAUCCCUGCCCUGGAUUCUUCCUCCCCUUCUUUGGCCAAUAGCCUGUCAGUAGGGAGACAGUGUAGACAGGUGGCGAUGCCUCAUGUGGUUAAAGGGCCACUCCAUGCUCCUUCACAGAUAGAAAGCCGAGAUAGAAGAAUGAAAAGUAGAACUUCCAGUCCUAAAGAUACUACCUGACUUUUCAUUUGAAUGAAACUUUUUUAAAGUUAUGAGCUUCAGGUUUAAUUUAAAUAUUCAGGAAACUAUAUUUUCUUAUUUAUUUAUUUAUUUAUUUAUUUAUUUAUUUUGCGGGAGAGAGAGCGUGCGCGAGCGAGCCAUCAGGGGAGAGGCAGAGAAAGAGGGAGAGAGAGAAUCCCAAGCAAGUCAGCGUGAGAGCCCCAGGCAGGGCUCGGACCCACAAAACGCGAGAUCAUGACCCAAGCCGAAAUCAACAGCCGGACGCUCAACCUGCCGAACCACCCAGGUGCCCCCAGGAAACGAUGUUUCUUGUGUAGAGGAAGUGAAGCCAUGAGGCGGCAAACGUAUUUCAUUUCGCUGCCAUUUAAUGGCAGCAGGUAGGUGAGCCUUUGAUCUGGGAGUUCCUCAGUUCUCUUCCCUCAGCCUGUCCGUUCAAGGUCAGUUCUCUGAUGUUAUCCCUUCUGGUUUAUCCAGACAAUGGACGUCUUUGGUAUCGAAUGCCAGAAAGUUAUAGUUUACCCCAGUUGAACAUGUUGAACAGGAAGGCAGAAAACAUGGAUUCGUCAUGUCACUGCACUACUGACUAGUUGGGUAGAAUCUUUACCUCAUCACCAGUUUCCUCAUCUUUAAAAUGGGAAGAACAAUAAUAGUUGCUCUGCUUAUUAUAUCAUAGGGUUAUUGUGAAGACAAGUGAGAAAAUACGUAUGAACACAUAAAAUUUAAUGUGAUACACAGUUGUGAAGUAUUGUUAAUUGUAAUAAUAAGCCUAAGUAACUUUUCAGAUGUGGGAAACAAUACCUAACAUAUUGAACAUGGGCGGCUUUUGCUGCCCCAGUAAAGUUAUGAAUGCUGGAGAUUUUAGCAUGUACUUCUGUUUCUUAGAAUUUGCAGACAUCUUUUGAUGUAUUUUAUAAAGGUAAAGAUAAUUCAGCUGAGUUAGAUCCCAACCUUUUUCGUAGAACUGGUCGGUUUUCAUGGAUAUGUGAAAAGGGGUGGUUUCCACAAUUUGGAAAUUGCUUUUAUUUUUUUUAAUUUUUUUUAUUUUUUUUUUAAAUUUUUUUAAUGUUUUAUUUAUUUUUGAGAGAGACAGAGACAAGAUGCGAGUGGGUUAGGGGCAGAGACAGAGGGAGACACAGAAUCCAAAGCAGGCUCCAGGCUCUGAGCGGUCAGCACAGAGCCCGACAUGGGGCUUGAACUCACAAGCUGUGAGAUCAUGACCCAAACCGAAGUCGGAUGCUCAACUGACUGAGCCACCCAGGCGCCCCUGGAAAUUGCUUUUAGAUGACGACUCUGUAACCUAUCAAACAUGAGGCAGUGCUCCGCGUGAUACAUCCCAAGUAGACCUACUGCCUUCACUGAGAGCAGGAAUAGAAAACUUUGGGGUCAUUGAGCGUUUUCUAAAAUUCUCUAAUUAUCUUGGGUCACAGGGGGAUGGGAGAGUUUUUGUGACGCAUUUUAUUUACCCCCAGCCCCAAGAGAAGCAAAUUGGCACACUUUGUAAAAUAAUGAAAACUAGGGAAGGAGGUAUUGCAGCUCGCAGAGGAAAAUGGGUUGAUUCUCAGCACACAGGUACCAGUCCCUGGAGUUUGAGAUCAGUUCCCCUAGGGAAGGCUUCCGGAACCAGAGUACAAGCGCAAUUUGAGGCCGAGUGAAUGACCCAGACACAAGAGUGUUCAGCUUGUGCCCCGGCGGACCAGAAGCGGACCCCGAGUGUCUGUAAAUUACAGGAAGGCUUAGGAAAGGAGGAACAGGGGUGACUGGAGAAGGCAGAGAGAUAAUAUCUGUGGGUAACGACUUGGAAAAUAUUUUAAUCUUUGCAUCUUAGAAACUGCAAAGCUACAAAACUUAAAAAUGACUAUUGACAGAGGACUGUUUAAUCCGCAACACAAUCACUGUGAGUCCAAACCACAGAAUACAUUCUGGAGAGGCUUCAGUUUCUUUCCGUGGCGGGAUGAACAAUUUGCUGAGGUGGAGUUUCAGAGGAAACCAGAAGAUUAGCUUUGUAUUUGAUGCAGAGUAUUAGAGGGCUUCCUAAAGAGAUUAAAUCAAAACCUGAUUACGGUCCACUAAGGCUUUAUUAAUGUAGCAGACAUUUUUUUUUUUUUUUUUUUGCUUUUCAAGUUUUUCAUUUAAACUUGUGUUUGUGAAUAUUAUUAAACUUCUUGGGAUUAAGGACUCUUAAAGUCCCUCGUUUGCAAAGCCCUAUUAUUCGGCUCUCUGCAGGGGCUCAGAAAGCCCUCUUGGAGUUUACCCCCACACCCAGUCAUUAUUCCCCCGGAGGUGGCGGGGGCGGGGGGGUGCUUAGGAAAGCCAAAGGGGAGCUGGAACAGCUUUGGCAGAGGAACUUGGCCAGGGGAAGAGAGACCUUUACGAUUGUUCCUUCACCUUCCCCGUACCAUCCUCUCAUCCCCUCUCGGAUUCCUGGCUGAUGAUUAUUCUAGGGACAGGGCAUCGUGUUUAGCCCCGAAGGAGAAGUGUGGCUCGGCCUCUUGAGCGAGUCUGCCCCCCCACCCCGGGGUCCUGAAGCUUCUCUCCUGCCCUCCCUUUGCAUGUCACUGCCUUCGCCUAAGAAGGCUCCUCUUCCUUCACUUGGCUGUUCACACUCAUCCCAUCCUUCAAGGCUCAUCUCAAAUGCACCCUUACCGUCGUCCCUCCCAGCAUAGUCAAGAAACAAAAUCUUCAGCGGUCUCUGACGUCCCCAGCUCUGCCCACUCAGCGGCAAAACUUAAAAAUCUCAGUUCCAGGAGGAGGAGGAAGCAGAGAGCGAAGGUGCCAGACUUUCUUGUGGGGAAAGGCUUCUCUGCCCCUAACAUCCACAGCCCCUCAGUGUCAUCUGUGUGUGUCGCCUUCAGAUGGCUCGUGAAUCCUGCCAGAGGAACGGGACCCUGGCCAAGCCCCAUAAUGAGGAUUUUCUUGCUUACUCUGUGCAGGUAUUUGAAUGUCUUGUAAACGUACGAUGGACUGGGAAGGAAGGCUGCCUUUCGCAUUUUUUUGGUAAAAAUUCACGCCCAACUCUCAGAGGGUACUGUAAAAUUGGACAAGCAAGAAUGCAUUACUCUUCAGGGUAAAUGGCGAUUUUCUCACCACUCUGUAACACAAAAGAAAGGAAAACAACCCCUGGCUGUGGAAGCUAAAACCAUAGCUCUCCUCCUUAAGCCCUGAUUUCAAGUGUUGGAGUUUAUCAAAACGGCCUGUCCCUUCAUCCCACCCCAUCUAUGUGUCCUUUUCUCAUUUUCAGUCGAAAUGAUCUAAAAAAUUAUUAAGAUAUAUAUCUAUAAAAAGAUGUGUCUCCCAUAAUAUUGCAUACGCAUGCCCUUGAACACUUAGAGUUUUCAGAUAGUUCAGCCAUUUGUAUAUUCCUUUCCCAUACAUGUAAGCAUGUUGAAAGUAGCAGUUAUAUUUCCUUUACUUUUGUGUCCUUUGCAGGGCCUGGCACAGUGCCUUGUAUACGGGUGCUCAGUGAAUGAUUGAAUGCAUGAAGGACAGAACCAGCGUGUAUGUGGCUGUUUGUAUCUCCAUGUCGGCUCUUUGCUCAGUUAUGUGAUGUAAUGCUGACAAGCCAUAGAAAAGCCAGUACUGAGUGGGGCAGAACUGUCUCCAGGUUAACCCUGAUGGAAACCACUGAAGAGGAUAAGUAAAGGAACAAAAAAGGACCCAAACACAUUGGCCCAUAACUUUCUCUAGUACACAACUGCAUAUUAGGGAAACACAUGUUGGUAGUUACUUAGGCAUCUUUUUUGUGGGGAGGAAACACUUUUUUUUUUUUUUUUAAUUCUCAAGUUAGUUGACAUACAGUGUAGUCUUGGCCUCAGGAACAGAACCCAGUGAUUCAUCUCUUACAUAUGACAUCCAGUUGUUAUCCAACAAGUGCUCUCCUUAAUGCCCAUCGCCCAUUUAGCCCAUCACCCCCCCACCUCCCCUCUAGCAACCCCCUAGUCUGUUCUCUGUAUUAAGAGUCUCUUGUGGUUUGCCUCCUUCUCUGUUUUUAUCCUAUUUUUCCUUCCCUCAGGGAAACACUUUUUAGUUACCACACACUCCUGAGUAUUAGGCAGUUUGCAAUUAGUAUCUAAGUAACCCUUACCGUUUCGUUCAAAAACAGAUGAAAGAGGGCCGCCUGGGUGGCUCAGUCGGCUGAGCGUCCGACUUCGGCUCAGGUCAUGAUCUCACAGCUCGUGAGUUCGAGCCCCGUGUCAGGCUCUGUGCUGACCGCUCAGAGCCUGGAGCCCGCUUGGGAUUCUGUGUCUCCCUCUCUCUCUGCCCCUCCCCAACUUGUGCCACAUCUCUGUCUCUCAAAAAUAAAUAAACAUUAAAAAUCUUAAAAAAAAAAAAAAACAGAUGAAAGACUAAAGAGGUCUGUGUAACCAACCAGUGGUCCUUAACAGCCUUGAUAAACCUUUUGUUUAAUUCAGGUCUGUUAAUGAAGCUGCUGAUUACUCCUACCACAUGUGUGGAUUGUUCCAGAAAUCACUCUGUUCAGUUGGGGAUCUCUUGAGUGAAUUUGGCCCUGUAUGCGCUGAAAUUGACAGUUGACGAGGCAUCAGAUAAGGUGUCCAAAGCCUGCUGUGCUAAAAUUAAAAAUCCCAACAAAGUGGAAAUUUGGUAUUUUAAUUUCUAACAUAAAACGAAUAGCCUUUUGAUCAAUUUCUGUUUUUAUUCAGCAUUACAGAAAAUACUUCUUUGCUAAUCAAGAAAAGGGAGACUUAGCACAGACACCACCUUUUCAAUGACAGUCUUUUUCAGGAUAGAGAGAACGACCUAAGAUUCCAAAGCCUUUGCGCUGUAGCAAAUCACGAGCACAAUCUGGUACAAGCCUUCCCCCCUUGGGCCUUGAUCGCUGUUCAUAGGUGAUGGAGUUGGACCAAAUAUCGACUGGCUCUUCCAGCUCUGGCCCUUUCAGUGACUCUGCAGAUGAAAUUACUUAAUUACUUUCCAGAGCACCAUUCUGGAGUGGCAGCCCAUAGGGAGGUAAAAGCCAUACCCACUUGGCGGGUAUUCACUCAGACAUACAGCUGUGCUGUCCGGUGCAGAGUAUAUACUGUAUGCGUAAAAUACACAUCACGCUUCGAAGACUUAGAAUGGAAAAGAUCAUUCCAUGAGUUUUUAUAUUGAUUACACGUUGAAAUGAUAAUGUCUUGGAUAUAUUUGGUGAUAUACAAUAUGUUAUCAUAUUGAUUUACCUGGUGCUUUCUAUUUUCUUCUUUGGAUUAUGUAAACAAUUUAAAAUUAUAUCCAUGACUCAUACUAUUACAUUUCUCUUGGGCAUCUCUGGCCUAGAGGGUUCCUCCUUCUCCAUGUGACCUGAGUUCCAGUUACGUAGAAACCUCCCAAGGUUGAAACCAUCUAAACCUGUGGUUCUCAGCCUGGAUGCACUUUAGAAUCACAUGGGGAUCUUUUAAAAAAUACAGAGCCCCCCUCUCCUUAUGGUUCUGAUUCACCUGAUAAGAGCUCAUAGUGAUCUCUCUCCUGUGCUCAGAAUUUCUUCCGUAAGGCUGUAGGUGGCGUCGUCAUAAAGAGAUUGAGUCUGUUAGUUGAAAGCCAGAAGCACGUCCUGGGCUGGACAGCUGCCGGAUGCCGGGGGACAGAACACUCAAACAGGCUUAGCCCCUCGGACCCUCAGCUAGUUCUUAAGAGCAAAAGAGCCUUCUCCUUAGCUCUUCAGUUGCAAAACAUCAAGCAAACAGACACAAAACAGUAACUUGAAUUAAUUCUGUCUUAGCCGCUGCCGCUUAUUUGAGUUUCUGAAAAUCAGCUUACAGCAUUCCAGCCGGCCUCCCAGGGAGUUGCUUGGCGUUGCUUGGUCUGUUUUCAGAGAGGAAAAUGGGGCCCAAGGAGUAGGACCAUGAAUUCCUUCUGCCACAUUCUUGUCAUUUUGUUUUACUUUUGUUUUAGUGGGGAGACUUUUUUUUUUUUUGACUCUUAAGGGGUCUGAGGAAGGGAACAUACAAAAGGCAGUUUCACUGGACUCAGACUGCCCUGUCAAAUGGGGCAAACAGCCAUCAAGUUCAUGUUGAGUCCUAGUGGCAUAGGCUGCAUUUUCUAGCCUGACCCUCAAACUCGGGGAGCUGCCCUCCCUGGUCUGCCAGCCCCGAGUACUCAUCAGAGUCACCGUUGUUUGUGGCUAGACCCUGGCAUGGGCCCUAGGUGAGGAGGAAGCUGUUCCCCCUUCUUCACAGUCGUCCUGAAUGGCCACAUUUGGUGCCACCUGCAGUGAUGGUGACACCAGGUCAGAGCACUGGAGAGUUAGUAAAAGUUCCAGUAAAUAAUCCUGGGUGUCCAUAGUGCCCCGAGGCUUCACCAGUCAUCUCUCUGCCUAGGAUUUUGGAUUAAAUGCCACUUCCCUACGAUUAAGUUAAAGGUGUCUCUGUCGUCUGAGUUAUUUUGGAGUGACUGUGCCACUUUACUAGCUAUGUGAUGUUGGGCAAAUGACUUCUCUAAGCUGCACUUGGAAAAUAGGAAUCAUAACAGUACCUACCUCAUAUUCUCGUGGAGAUUUAACGAGUUGCUCUACGUGUCUCCAGCACCCUGCAUGGUGACAUGCCCAGAACAGCAGCUGAGGAAAGGUUUGCGGAGUGAAUAGAUGAAUGAAUUCACAAAUACUAAUAUAGCAGUGGAACCACAUGCUUACAGAGAUGCCCUCUGUUUGGAUCCGUCUACGAGUACCAGGGUUUCGUAUGCUAAACUAAUUGCUGACGUGUAAUUAGUUUCUCUCUCAAGUAUUUAGACCCCAUGUAUCUCCAUUCCUCUGGCAUUUGCAUACAAUAGAUGCUAGACAUAGUUGCAGAGCUAAACAACUUCUACUAUUGGCUUUGAGGCUCACACUGGCCAGAGUACACGUUUUAUGUUGCAGAGAUAUUUUAGGGGAUCAAAUUGUUCUCACACGUGAACAAUGAUAAAUAUAGAUACUUUAUAGCCACAUAUAAGUAAAUUCUACCGAAUAAGGAGCCGUGAAAAUGGACAAGCACGAGUUAGAUUAGUAAGUAUAUAUUAUAUUGAAAUAUGUACAUUUUAGUGCUUGAAGAAAAUAGUAGGAUUCUCUGAACUACCCAUAUAACCUCUCCCCCCACCCAAGUAGAGCAGAUGGGUAACUAGUAACCCAAAUUUUUCUUCUCUCUUUAAUUUUUUUAACGUUUAUUUAUUUUUGAGAGGGGGGGCACGGGCAGAGAGAGAGGGAGACACAGGAUCCGAAGCAGGCUCCGGGCUCUGAGCUGUCAGCACAGAGCCCGACACGGGGCUUGAACUCAUGAACCAUGAGAUCAUGACCUGAGCCAAAGUCGGACGCUUAACUGAGCCACCCAGGCGCCCCUCCCAACUUUUUCAAGAACAGCUGUAAGAGGAUAGUGAUAUUAACGAAGAGAUAUUACAUGGAGCCAUGCACUUAAAUUUUUUAAAUGUCAGGUGUGGUUUGAAAAGAUAACACCAUGUUUUUUUGUUUUCUUGUUUUUACUGAGGACAGGUUUUCUGAACGUUCAUCUUCGUGCUAUAGUCAUAAUGCAAAUUAACUUUGGAAACCUUUUGGAUUAAGACACGGUUGUGGCUACAGUGAAUAAAAGUGACAUGCUUUGAAGUUAGGUCCAGUUUAGGGAACGUCAACCCAGAUGCAGUUCAUCAGAACUCCAAUUUUAAAGCCAGAUCACCUCCGUGGCUUCGUUUUAAUUUUUCUUAAUCCCAUGGAUCAUUUUCUUUCGGCAUCUCCACCACAGAUGGGGGACAAGAGCAGAGAAUAUGAAGACCUGUCACGUGGGCAGGGACAAAGCGAGAAAGAGGAAAAAAAAAAAAGGCACAACUAGAGUAAGAGAGGCUGGAUGUGUAGCGGGCUGAGGAAGGACGACAGGGAGCUGGGUCACAAAGGGAGCUGGGGCUGUGCCCUAGCCCGUGUGCCUGGGCGAACAGAAGGAAGUAUGCAUUUACCAUGCCAUUACUUUAUUUUCAAUCUUGUAACAGCUUUUUAAGUCAACAUGAUAUUUUACAGCAAUUAACUGUAAUUACAAAUCUUAAAAACAUUUUUGUGGAUAAUUACAUGCUUAAUUGUUGUUCCUUCAUUUUCAUUUAAUUCUAAAAGAAAUUAACUGUGCCAUUUUGACAAGUGCUUAGUGUUUUUUUUAAUACUGAUCAUGAAUACUCUACUACUUAAAUUUGUUGUUACACAGUCUCACAAACUUUUCCCUAGUCUGAAAGUGUCUAUGGAUGUUUGCAAUAAGUCCCCUGUCUGCAAGCCAGUUGCACACUACUCUCACACAUACGAUUGCUUGGAAGGGACUGUCACCACCGGCAAGGAAAGAUGACCCACUUAAUUAAUCGGCGGCAGACUAGAGAAGGAUUGGGCUCCGUAUUUUCUGAUGGCGAUUGGCCACUUGGUGGCAGGCUACCAAGUGAGUUGUUGAUCCAUUGGAACUCAGCCCAUUUGGAUUGCCAGGAUUGGCUUUCUGUCAUCAGGCUACUAAAACUGUGUGUUUGGGGAAGAUGAAAAAAAUUAAAAAGACUAGUAGUCUGUGUAACUCACCAGGUUUAAACUCUCUAAAGGAAAAAUAUAGGCCUCGACGAUAGGGUAGAUGAAUGGGAGAAAUCCUGACCACUUGGACUUAGAUGUGUUGAAUGAAUCUCUGAGAAAUUCUGUUAACUGGCCCAGAUAGCAUCUGAAAUGGUGUUUGUGGUGGGGAGGGAUAAAGGUAAAUGGUACUGAUGGGGAGUUUCAGUAAGUGUUAUAUUUGCAGUGAAUUCUUAAUAGGAGGGGCAGAAUAAAGGUAAGCAUACAGAAGACAUGUGACCAAGUUCCAAUUUGAAUGCUUAUGAGCCCUGUAACCUUCCAUGAUUUCUUCAGACCGAUAAAUUAGAUAAUGUGGGUAAAAGCACGGAGGAUAGUAUUUGACACGUGGUAGAUUCUCAGCCAGUCUUCUUAUUCUUCCUUCUCUUAAAUCUUAAGAGUCGGGUUAUUCUAUAAAGAACUCAGUUUUGAAGAUUACUUCAUUCCAAGAUAUUUUAUUUUUACUUCUUUGAUUUAUCAGUUGAUGGCAUAAGAAUGUCCCAUUAUUAACCUGUAGACCCAUAUAUUUUUAUGAUAUUUUAAAGCUUUCCUGCCAUUGCAUUAUAAUACAAGCUUUUUCGUUUAUUAUUUGUCUUGUGGUGCUAAGAUAAUGUUUUGAAUAAUGUGAAAGGAAGGCUAGGACUGGGAUAUAAUCACACUGACAAACGGAUACAUCGUGUUUUCCCAGAAUGUAUAUAUACCUAUUGUAUGAACCUGAAAAUAAGUUUUCUUUAUGGGUUUUCAUCACUUUGUCCUAUUCUCUUGGAGGAUGUUGAUGUUUGUUUUCCUAAUAUCUCCAGUAGCAAAGCAAAGAAUAAUGAAUUGCCUCUCAUGUCAGUACUGACAGUGACAAAUGAUGGCUGCCUGUGUGUAUAGGUGUGAGUGACAGGCCCCAUAGCUCACAGCUUUUCCACCACACACAGCUCACCUCAGCCUUCAUGGCUGAUUCCCACCCAGUUCAGCCUUCUUCCAUUUAUUCCUUGAGACCACUGGUGAGCCCAUCAUUAAGGGGCUCCAUUCCUUGUGAUGAGUCAUUCAUUCAGAAAAUAUUUAGUGUGCCUGGGUGGCUCAGUCGGUUGAGCGUCCAGCUCUUGGUUUCAGCUCAGGGAUGAGCGUCCAACUCUCGGUUUCAGCUCAGGUCACGAUCCCAGGGUCAUGGGAUUGAGCCCCGUGUCGGGUUCUGUGCUGAGUGCGAGUGCGGAACCUGUUUAAGAUUCUCUUUUCCUCUGGCCCUCUCCCUCAGUUGCACAUGCUCUCUCUCAUAUAAAAACAUUUAUCGAGCCCAUUUACUAGACCAGGAAUUCUGCUAGGUAAUGGAACCAUGGAGAUGCCUAAGGCAUAGCUCCAACCUUAAGAUGCUUAUAGUCUAACAAGGAGAUAAGACCUGUCCAUGGAUAACGCUAACAAAGAUAAAAAAAAAAAGGCACACGGAAGAACAAGGAGCUAUUGGUGUCCGGAGAAGGGAGUGAUUACUUCUAGGUGGGGAGAUUCAGGAAGGGCUUCCCUCCUUCAUUCAUUCGACAGGCAAAUGAGCAGGAGAUUAUGCUAAGCUGAAGAUACAGAGACAAGCGAAACACCGUCUGCCCGGGCGCCUGGGUGGCUCAGCGGGUUAAGCGUGUGGCUCUUGGUUUUGGCUCGGGUAUGAUCCCACUGUUCAUAGGUCCGAGCCCAGUGUAGGGCUCUGCGUUGGCAUUGUGGGGCAUGCUUGGGAAUCUCUCUCUCCCUCUCUCUCUUCCCCUCCUCUGCUCACAUGCGUGCACGCACACACAUACUCUCUCCAAAUAAAUAGACUUUAUAAACACACACACACACACACACACACACACAUGACCACUGUUCCCCCUCAUGGAGUUUACCUUCUUGGGUAAGGCACAUACCCAGAGUAAUGACUGCACCCUGCGGUAAGGUUAAGUAUUAUACACAAGGUAAGAACAAAGUGCCAAGGGAACCUGUGAGUUAAUAUAUUUAGGGAACCAAGGAGCCAUGGUUGAGGCAGGGGUUGUGCUGGGUUUUCUAUAGUGAGGUUAUAGUCUGGUGAGUGUGACUGACUUGUACGCAUGUAAAUAAUUCCAAUUUCAGGUAAAAGGUACUCAGCACCCUAGGAGAAGCUCAGGCAGAGGGCAGUGAGCGAGGGUAGAAGGGUGAGUGUAUUUGGUUCCAGCUGGGGCCCCAGGUAAAUAUUUACCAAAGAGGUUGAAUCGCAGCUGGGCCUUAAUGGAUGAGAAGUUCAACAGGGAAAGGGCUGAGGGAGGGGAUAAUAUAGAAGGAACAACGUGAAUCCAGGGUUGGCCUGUUACUGGUAAGCCCUUUGCAGCGGCCACAGCGGACUAGGCUGGAAGUGGCCCAGGGCGAGGGAAAUAUGAGAUGCAGCUAGACCACGGAAGGUCGUGAAGGGCGAGCUGGUCACUGGACUUCAUUGCGUUGGUGAUGCGUCCUUUCUUCUUCCGACUGUGCUUUGGGCUUGAGGCCAUAUUAAUUAGAAACUAGGGCUCUGGAAUCGGACUGCUUUGAUUCCGUCAUUGCCUCACUGUGCGCGUUCAGGCUCACUACUGAGAUUGGGCGAGUCUCUUCGCCUCUCUGGGCCUUGGUGUGAACAUCGCACAGGUACAGUCCGUGAGGAUUGGUUUAGUUCCUGCAUAUGCAGCCCCUACAACAGUGUCUAACAAGACGGAACCCCGUACGUGUGCGUCGUCGUUAGUAGCAGCAGUGUGGUCAGUAGUAAUAGUAACGAUAAUAGUUGUGAUAUAAAUAGGAGCAACUUUAGGGUGUUCUUGUGCUGUGAACUUGUAGGGACGUACCUAGGAUGACCUGAUGGGCUUGAAAAAACCAGUAGUGAACCUCAGGGGCUAUUUCAGAAUGUUCGAUUCUACCCUCUCGGCAUAACUGUUAAGGUACACCCGGGUUCAGCCAUGUACUAGCCCCAUAAAUAACCAGGCCUCUGUAGCUUAAAAUGGCCCAACCGGAACGUUGGCUUCCGGGACGAUGGGGGCAGCCAGUAAAAUGGUUCCAGGCUCACGUCCGAGCCAGAGUUGGAGAGCGCCUCUAUCUACAAAUCACACUACCCGCAAAGCUCGCAAACGGUAGGGACUGCCUGUGGUUAAACUGAAGGUGGCGUGGAAAGUCUAGCGAUACAAGGAUUUAAUUCCUAUGUCCCAGGGGCCUUAGUUUUGAUACUCCUACCGGAAGCCGAAAGUUCAGUAUGAAGGGGUGGCUAUUUGCAAGUAAUCCUAAAGUGUUCGCACUGGGGGCAGGCUCACCAGAAACAGGCAGGGCCUGAGAACAGUGAUCUACAAAGUUGUGGAAACUGUUCUUUCUUGGGUUGAUGCUUUGGGCAUUUUUGGACACACUCAACACGUACAGCUGUGUGCAGCAGGCGGCCCAUGGUUCCGUCCAUUCGCACUGUGUGCCCAGCUGUAGACCCAGCAGAUGGGUGUCAUCGCAAACGUGACUCUUUCUUACGGGUUGACCUCUGGUGAUUUAAUCUGGUUCUUGGUCAUCACUAAGCACACAGGCUGCUGUUCUAAGACAGAGGCACUUUAGUAGCUCCUGGAAGAGCCCACAAAUCUCCCUUCUUACACUCUCAAAGCCAUAUGCAAACAACAUUCUGUAGAUCUAAAAGUAAGGGGAUCGUAUUGCACUGAAAGCAUUAUUAUUAUUAUAUAUCUUAUAUCUUAGUUAUUAUUAUUAUAUAAUAAUCUUAUAUAUCUUAUGUAUAUUAAUAUAUAUUAUAUAUCUUAUAUGUUAUAUAUAUUAAUAUCUUAAUUAUAUAUCUUAAGGAUUUAAAGGGGGCCAGUGUCUUCUGCCCACUUUUGGCACCUUCCAUUUUCCAUUAGAAAAUGGAUCUUAACUCAUACCCUGUUUUUGAUAAAUACUAAUUAAAAAUUUGCCUGAAAAAAAUUGCAUUGGCCUUCUUUGAAUUUUUUUUUUCUUGAGAAGGGAUAUUUUGGAUGGGUCAUGUUUCUUUUAAAAAACUAUCCAUGGAAGUUUCCUAAAAUAUAUGUACUUGUGGCAAAUAGAGACUUUCAAAAUCAUUCAUAGAGUAGAGCUAGAAAUGUAGAAACAAAGGAACUUAAAUUCGGAAGGGUUAGGCUUAGCAAAAAGGAUGUGGCACUUGGGUUUGAGCCCACCUGUAUGACCCUGUAGAAGCUAAUGUUCAGACUCAGUUUUUUCAUCUGAAAAAUAGGGCAAAGAAGAUCUGCUUAUAACACAGCACUUGUUCCGAGGGAGGAUUAAUUAAAAUACUAUACGGGGAAAUGCUUUGUAAAUGGCAAACUGCUAUUCAAAUGUAAGGAAUUGCUCUUAUCAUCACCGUUCAAGGUCCUAGAGGUUAUAUAGCUAGCCAGUCCGUUUGUCUAAAUAAAUAAAUCAAUAAAUCAAUAAAUCAAUCAAUAAUAAUUCACUUACGUCUUCCCCCACUAGAUGGCAGGCGAGCCACUUGGUAAAAUACUGUCCAGGUUCGGGAUCUAGGAACCGCAGCAAUAUUCGGAUUUGCGAGGCAGUGAAGCAAUGGACAAAGGGUGAAUUAGACAUUGUGAAAAGCGGAGACAGCCUAUAUUGUUAAAACAAAUCUCAUUCCAACGCCAUUGGUUUUCAGUUCACCAAAAUUUUGAUGUAUGGAAAUAGGGUCCUUUUCUUUUCACUACGAGAAAAAGGACAGCUAAGCAAAUAAUUUCUACAAAUAGGGAAAUGUUUAGCCUGCUCAGAGUUGUAGCUAACAGACUUAAUGAUUAUUUAUAACACCGCUUUACAGGUAAUGGUUUCAUCCAUAUCAGGAGUUGACAAAGUGCUUCUCUAAAAGGGCCGGAUAGUAAAAAUUUCCGGCUUUGCAGGUCCGUCCAUUUCUGUUGCAUUGGCUUGACUUUGCUUUUGCAGGCUACAAGCCUGAAGACAGACUGAGACAGUAAGAAAAUUAGGGGGCGUGACUGGGUUACAAUAAGCUUUAAUUAUGGAUACUGAAUUUUGAAAUUCUUGUAACUUUUACUUACCACAAAAUAUUGUUCUUCUUUUGAUUCUUUUUGACCAUUUAAAAAUGUAAAGCUCGGGGCGCCUGGGUGGCUCAGUCGGUUAAGCGUCCGACUUUGGCUCGGGUCAUCAUCUCGCGGUCCGUGAGUUCGAGCCCCGCAUCGGGCUCUGUGCUGACAGCUCAGACAGAGCCUGGAGCCUGUUUCAGAUUCUGUGUCUCCCUCUCUCUGACCCUCCCCGUUCAUGCUCUGUCUCUCUCUGUCUCAAAAAUAAAUAAAAUGUUAAAAAAAAAAUUAAAAAAAAAAAUAAAAUAAAAAUGUAAAGCUCAAAGACCAUUACAAAACAUGGCAACAGGCCUGAUUUAUUCCCCGGGGAGUAGUUUGUAGCCCCUUAAUAAUCUGAACUAUCAGAUUGACAGUCUCCUCGGUUAACGUAAAUAAACUUUUUACUGUUUUCAUAAUAAAUGUUUCAAUGUGGCUUUUUUUUUUGCGUGUGCAAAUUAGUAAGAAAACUUGUGAUUUUUUUUUUUUUUUUUUUUUUCCUUCUUUCUCAAUAUAGGCUUGUGUCUUGUUUGUUAGACUGACUAUAAAAAAAGGACUUCAAGUAGCUGAUGCAUUGUUAUCAGACUUGCCAGGAAAAAAACCCAAACAAACAGGACACCUAGUUAAUUUGAAGUUCACUUCUUUGAAUUUCACUUAAAAACAAUGAAUAGCUUUUAACAUCCAAGUUUUGUAUAUUGCAUAGGACAUAGUUACAUUAACAAAGUAUUUGUUGUUUACCUGAGAUUUAGUUUUAACUGGGUGACUUGUGUUUUUAUUGGUAAAUCUGGCAUUUGCCCUUGUACUUACGGACUUUGCCCAUCACUUAUAUACUAAGGCCUUAAAAAUAGCCAAACAUCUGAAGGCAGGACUCCGGAAGUGAAGUACGUCUUUAGGGAUCUGGGGGAAAUGUGCAUUUCCACCCUCCUGGUUGUUUUGAGUGUAAUUUACCACACUAAAACAACCGUGUGGCAUACCCAUUUUUCGCAUCCUUUUUCCAGGAGUAUUUCUUUCCAUUCUAGCCGCCGGUCUCACUNNNNNNNNNNNNNNNNNNNNNNNNNNNNNNNNNNNNNNNNNNNNNNNNNNNNNNNNNNNNNNNNNNNNNNNNNNNNNNNNNNNNNNNNNNNNNNNNNNNNNNNNNNNNNNNNNNNNNNNNNNNNNNNNNNNNNNNNNNNNNNNNNNNNNNNNNNNNNNNNNNNNNNNNNNNNNNNNNNNNNNNNNNNNNNNNNNNNNNNNNNNNNNNNNNNNNNNNNNNNNNNNNNNNNNNNNNNNNNNNNNNNNNNNNNNNNNNNNNNNNNNNNNNNNNNNNNNNNNNNNNNNNNNNNNNNNNNNNNNNNNNNNNNNNNNNNNNNNNNNNNNNNNNNNNNNNNNNNNNNNNNNNNNNNNNNNNNNNNNNNNNNNNNNNNNNNNNNNNNNNNNNNNNNNNNNNNNNNNNNNNNNNNNNNNNNNNNNNNNNNNNNNNNNNNNNNNNNNNNNNNNNNNNNNNNNNNNNNNNNNNNNNNNNNNNNNNNNNNNNNNNNNNNNNNNNNNNNNNNNNNNNNNNNNNNNNNNNNNNNNNNNNNNNNNNNNNNNNNNNNNNNNNNNNNNNNNNNNNNNNNNNNNNNNNNNNNNNNNNNNNNNNNNNNNNNNNNNNNNNNNNNNNNNNNNNNNNNNNNNNNNNNNNNNNNNNNNNNNNNNNNNNNNNNNNNNNNNNNNNNNNNNNNNNNNNNNNNNNNNNNNNNNNNNNNNNNNNNNNNNNNNNNNNNNNNNNNNNNNNNNNNNNNNNNNNNNNNNNNNNNNNNNNNNNNNNNNNNNNNNNNNNNNNNNNNNNNNNNNNNNNNNNNNNNNNNNNNNNNNNNNNNNNNNNNNNNNNNNNNNNNNNNNNNNNNNNNNNNNNNNNNNNNNNNNNNNNNNNNNNNNNNNNNNNNNNNNNNNNNNNNNNNNNNNNNNNNNNNNNNNNNNNNNNNNNNNNNNNNNNNNNNNNNNNNNNNNNNNNNNNNNNNNNNNNNNNNNNNNNNNNNNNNNNNNNNNNNNNNNNNNNNNNNNNNNNNNNNNNNNNNNNNNNNNNNNNNNNNNNNNNNNNNNNNNNNNNNNNNNNNNNNNNNNNNNNNNNNNNNNNNNNNNNNNNNNNNNNNNNNNNNNNNNNNNNNNNNNNNNNNNNNNNNNNNNNNNNNNNNNNNNNNNNNNNNNNNNNNNNNNNNNNNNNNNNNNNNNNNNNNNNNNNNNNNNNNNNNNNNNNNNNNNNNNNNNNNNNNNNNNNNNNNNNNNNNNNNNNNNNNNNNNNNNNNNNNNNNNNNNNNNNNNNNNNNNNNNNNNNNNNNNNNNNNNNNNNNNNNNNNNNNNNNNNNNNNNNNNNNNNNNNNNNNNNNNNNNNNNNNNNNNNNNNNNNNNNNNNNNNNNNNNNNNNNNNNNNNNNNNNNNNNNNNNNNNNNNNNNNNNNNNNNNNNNNNNNNNNNNNNNNNNNNNNNNNNNNNNNNNNNNNNNNNNNNNNNNNNNNNNNNNGACCCCGACUCGGCACGACUUAGCCACGCUGGCCUCAUCCGAAUCCUGGGCUUUGCGAAUCAACUCCGAAGUGAUCCCCCCCCCCCCCCCCCCCCNNNNNGACCUCGGUCCUACUUCUCAUUUGCUUUCUUUGCAGUGAGUUCGGUUUGGAGACACUGCGGCUUCAUCACCUCGUGCCUCAAGGAGCAAAGCCCAGUUCUUGGCUCACCGAGGCCAUUGGGGCGUUUGGAGGAGACUGAAGGCCAGAGCUUAUGCGAGACCCCCAGGUUGCAAAGCUCUGCCUUCCAAUCGCCAAAACACUGCAGAAGUAGGACACAAGAGGAAGCUGUGCUCCCUGAAUCAGGGCUUAGGAACCCAUGCGGAAUUGGGUUGAAUAUAUGUGUUUUGAAGGAACCACGAGUAACUGGGAAGCGCUUUUGAAAUUAAUUUGCAGAAAGAGGGAUGCUUCUAUGCUCCGGGCCGCCUUGUUCGGCUCAAGCCUGCCAGGAGCCUUUCCUGGUAUUGCGAUUCAGUCUGAAUUUGCAAUGAUGCAGGCACCUUGAAUGACGAUGACACUCCAUAAUUUACAGUGCAUCUCCCUUGUCAUACCUCAUAUAACUCUUCUCAGCCGGGAACCAGACACAGUGCUGGGCGCUGGCUCAAAGUGGCUUUCAGUUGUCAUUAUCCCUCAGAACCAGUUUCUGCCGAGCUCGUGUGGUUUGCGGUCGUUAUGGCUGAGAGACAAAUGGCACGCGUAGCCCAGGCCUAGGGGACGGCCCAGUUGUAUUUCAGGUUGGGACAUGGCUGGCCACUAGGUCGGUGAGUGCCGGAUUCCUUGCUGGGUUCCCGAACUAAAUGCUCCCUUUCGUCUCACGCAGGCCGGUGAAAAUGAGGUAAAGGGGAAGAGCAAAUGAAAGAGAUCAGGAAACUAUUGUUCACAUUUAUGUGCCUUUUCCUAAAAAACAAGAAAAAGGAAAGAAAUCUUUCGAAGCUUUGGGUGUGUCCAGUCCCUCAAAAGAUCAGGGAAAAGGGGGAAUUUGUCCCAUCACUUGCCAGAUUCCUGGCCUGUUAAGACGAGUUUGCUUACUUUGAGGAGCUAUUAAGUCAACAUUCUGCUUAAUACAAAAGGGGAAGAAAUUGAGAAAGGGCAGGCAUGGGGGGGAACCUUGUCCCGCGGGGGCGCACCGCGUUUCUUCUCUGUCUCGGUGUAGCUGUUCCACGCUGUAGCCAGCAGAGGGCACUGUUGCCACAUGGACUCCAUUUGAUUUUUUUGGGGUGGGGUGAAUUUUCAGAGCUAUAAAAAAUACUUGGAUCCAGUAAGAAAUAUGCGUGAUUUUCCACGGAAUAUUAAUGUGAAAAAUAGAUUAUUAUUAAUAACUUGUGGAUGUCUAUUUGAUUAAUGACCCAUCAAGCCAUGGAAGGAAAGUGAAGAUGUUUCCUAACUGUCGUUAUCAAACAUUAAAAUAGCGAGAACAAAAUAGCAACGUGAUAAUAAAUAUCCGCACGGUGCACAUAAAUUAUUUAGGACACAAACAGGUCUUUUUCUUGUGGGAAUGUGUGUGCUGAGACAUAGUAACAAAGAAGAACAGGUCUGCUUCAUCCUAAACAUCUCCUUAAUUUUUUAUUUAUUGCAAACAAAGCCUUUCGUUAAUACCGAGACAGUUAAAUGUAACUCCAUCUCACAAAAGAAACCUGCCAUCUGAGGCCCUCCAUGACUUGCCUCAGACUUUCAACUCUGUUUUACCAUCCACUUCAGCUACCCUGUCUUUCAACCUCGUCUAAUUUUCCCCAGCGUUUUCCUGCCUCUUACUUCCCACUCGCUUGCUCUCUUCUCCACAUGCUGGAGAUCCUACCCAUUCUUCAAAGUCCGAUUCAAAUACUGACUUUUGCGUGCGUUGCAAGGCAUCCACAGAUGAUGACACACACAGGGAACCAGAUGGCAGCACGGUGCAAUGUCAUCAAUGCUGCAAUCGGAGUAAAUUUGGGAAGGAGGCUCUGAGAGCUCCGAUCCCUACUUCAGAGCCAGCCGGUGCUUCAGACACAGCCGGAGAGAUCAGGGAAAGCUUCCUGGGAGAGGUGGUUCUUGACCUAGCGUUGAAGGUUAAGGAAAUCCGGGUGAUUGAAAUAGCCCCUUAAUGGCUACCGCGGAGAUUACAGAGGCAGAAACGGAGAGGCAGUGAGAGAUGAGCCUGGGAAAGUAGGCAGACAGCACCACACACAGGGAGGUUGGACUUCAUUCCAUAAGCCACGGAGACUCACGGAAUGAUUUCAAGUGGCGGCAGCACUGGCUUAGACACUUAUUUUAGAAACGUUGCUCUCUGGGGCGCCUGGGUGGCUCAGUCGGUUAAGCACCCAACUCUCGGUCUCAGCUCAGGGCGUGAUCUCGUGGUUCACGUGUUCGAGCCUCGCAUCGGGCUCUGUGCUGACAGUGUGGAGCCUGCCUGGGAUUCUCUCUCUCUCUCCCUCUCUCUCUCUGCUCCUCCCCUCAAAAUAAAGAAACUUCAAAAAAAAAAAAGAAAGGUUACUCUGGAGGCAGUGCGGUCAGUAGGUUUGAAUGGCAGGCGGACAUCUUAGGAAGUCACAUCUUUCUUCAGAUGAGGAAAGAGAAGGGCCCGAAGCAGGGUACAUAAAGUAGAAAUGGACAAAACAGGAUUAGGCCUCAAUAACACAUUGUUUGUAACUCUUAGGGAAUGUGUGACUUUCUACCUCAUAGCGCGUUAUCUUCACCUUCCCCGGAACACUUAAGUUUCUUGAGAUCAAGGUUUUUUCUCCGUUCAUUUCUGGAUUCUUCACACUACGUGGCCCUUGUACGUGACAAGCACGAGCUGUCUGAGGAGAAUGCAUGUCAGAAACUUGUUAUCAUAAGGGUUUACUUUUGAAACGCUCUCUUAGGGUUCUUCGGUCUCAAAAGUCAGUUGCAUGACAACUUGGUUUAUCCUCCUGGUAAACGUGUUGUGGGUAGUUUAUCAAUUUUGGAAGAAAAUAAGAUUUCUCAUGGAAAUCUCCCCAUCGGUUGCCAUUUAUGGGUAUUAUACUCAAAAGGUGAAAUGCUUCCGGGGCUCUGUACUUUUUGAGUUCACCACUUGAGUGUGUGUGUUUUAAGAUUUUUGAAGGGGGAAGAUGAUAGUUCUGCACAGCUUGUGUGAAAGCAGCAGCCCNNNNNNNNNNCCCCCCCCCCCCCCCCCCCCACCGAGACCAAAUGUCCCUUCAUAACAGAAGCUUCAAAGGAGCUCAAUCCUGUUUGGCUGUUCAAAUCCUCACAGGGUGUGGCACUUUUAGAAAUCCUUUAUUCUUCCCCGUUGUUGAAAUGCUGACAGAAUCAACAUCCUGAGACGCUCCUGCCCUUUCGGGCACUUGAGCGACGUGAGCCUCAACUCAAAGCUCAAUCGGGCUUUAUUUCUCGUUCGACAGCAUAUCAGGCCUCCUUGGACUCACAAGGGCCGGAAGCAUGAUGGUAUGCUCUCAACCCUUUGGAUAAAUGUACUUUGGAAUAAUACCUUGAGAAGAGGAACACUUGGUUAUACCGUUAUUUGAUAGCGUCCUAACCGCCUCGAAGCUCUGCACAACUCGCAGAACUGAAAGAUGACGGAGGACGUUUAUUUCAGACACUUUAUUCUUCACACUGGCCUGGUGCCAGCGUCUUACAAAAGUGACAUGUCCCUUAGCAAAAGGUCAAAGGACACAGGGUGAAAGGCUGACCCGAAGUGAAUUUUAUGGGUAGAAAUGUAUUUUCUCAUUUGAAAGUUGGUCGAAUGAAGUUUUGCCCAGUGAUUCGGUUACGCACAUAAGUAGUCAGUCUCCCUACCCUGGGUUAUCAGUUUUUAUCCUCUUGUUUGCUCCUGAUUUCCUUUCAUAAAUCUCCAUCUCUUGUACGGUGUGGAAAAGAGUUGCUAUUAGUAUUAUGAAGCUGAGCUGUCCCCAGGUUCAGAUAAUCUCCUUUUGGAUAAAAUUGCCAUAAAUCUUCUGUUCCAGUUUGGUAGGGAAAAAGGAGACCUGGAAAUUGGUCUCAUACCUUUAAAUUGAUACUGGGAUUCAGGCUGUGUGAUGCCUUAGUAUUUAAUCUAUUGAUUUAAUGGGGGGAAAAUACUUCAUUAAAGUGAUUCCCCUCCAGUGAUCAGUUGUUCUUUAGUUGUAUUUUUUAAAAAGUUUAUUUAAUUUUGAGAGAGAGUACGAGUGGUGGAGAGAGGGAGAGAAUCCCAAGCAGGCUCCGUGCUGUCAAUGCAGAGCCUGACGCGGGGCUUGAUCCCACGACCAUGAGAUCGUGACCUGAGCUGAAAUCAGGAGUGGGACGCUUAACCUGAGCCACCCAGGCACCUCUCUUUAGUUGUAAUUCUUAAUCUUGUAUUUAACCUGAAAAGUCACUGACAGAGACGUGAUGGUACCUAAAAUGUAGCCAUGAAAUACGAGAUUAUUACCUCAUGCACACAUGUGCAUGCGCACACACACACUUUUUAUUAUGAGAGUGUUCAAAUCUACAGAGAAAUAAAGUAGUGAAGUGAAUGCCCACUUGCCAAGCACCUGGAUUUAACAAUUGUUAACAUUUUUGAUAAAAUAAGUGACUAGUUUAUAUGUAUAUUUGCUUCAGUUCUCCACCCGCAAAAGUGAGUAUUCGCCUAUCUUACCGCGGUUCCGUUAUUAUACCUAAUAAAGUCAACGGCAGUCACCUAUUCUACCUGACAGCCUACUCAUAUCCAGAUUCCUCCAGUCGUGCCCAAACUGUGAUUGACUGUGAAUUAUGAGUGACGCGAUUAUUGGCAGAUCAGAGAUCUGAGAACUUGGUACUGUCCCUCAGCUGACAGAAGUCAGGAGUGUAGACCGGUAGCAGAACAGAACUUAAGCCAGAAAAAUAUAGAGUAAUUAAUUACUCAUUACUCUCCCCUCCUCGAGCUAUAGUGACCUCCGGAGAAAGCUGAGCCAUCAACUGGGAAUCAGCGUGGGGCUCGGAGUCUACCAGAACUCCUGUCUCCCAUACAGAGGGGAAGUGCCAUCGAGAGAGGCCUGACACUCUUGUAGCUGAAUGGUCAGUCAUUCCACCAUCAUUCAUCAAGGAAUCCUUCCUUUCCUCAAUACCUUGAAAUAGUACCACAGAACUAUAAAAAUAUUGGAAGAAAAUACGUGAACAUAUUUUUAUCAUCUUAGGGAGGCGAAGGCUUUUCAAAGCAAGGCAUGAAACGUUUGAUUACAUAAAUAUCUGAACGUCUUUAUGGCAAAAGACAAAAUUAAAAAGUAAAUGGCAGGCUUAAAGAAAAUGUUUGCAGCAUAGAGUGUAAAAUAAGAGUUCCGUAGGGGCGCCUGGGUGGCUCAGUCGGUUAAGCAUCUGACUCUUGAUUUUGGCUCAGGUCAUGACCUCAUGGUUCAUGGGUUUGAGCCCUGUGUCAGGCUGAGUACUGACGGUCUGGAGCCUGCUGGAGCUUCUCCCUCCCUCUCUCUCUCUCUCUCUCUGCCCCUCCCCUGCUCACACACACACACACACACACACACACUCUCUCUCUCUCAAAAUAAAUAAACUUUUAAAAAAACGAAAAAGAAAGGGAGAGUUCUCUAAUAUGCUAAUAGUGCCUACAAAUCAGUAGGAGAAAAAUUUUUGAGUGGGCAAAGGAUAUAAACGGACAAUUUAAAGAUGGAGUAGAAAUGGCUCACCAUAUGGAAAGAUGAUUAAAGAAAUGAAAAUUAAAACUGAGAUACCUUGCUAUUCACCUUCUGUUUGGUGCAAAUGACAAAGAUUGGUAAUAUUUCAUGUUGGUGAACAUAUGGGAGAAGAGGGCUCUCCUCCACUGUUGGUAAGCAUACAAAUUGGUCCAGCCUCUGUAAGGGCAGGUUGGCAUAUAUUAUUAUUAUCCCAAGUUCAUGUUCUCCUCGCUAAUGUAAAAGCUACUUAGGCAAUCUGCCUCUGUUCCUGACUUCAUUUCCUAUUUUUGUGUCUGCUCUCUCCUAGCUGGUGCUAUUUGUGCUUCUCAUCCCAGCCAGGCAGACUUGACCUUCACUCCUGACUUCGUGAUCCCUUCACAACUGCAAGUCAUUUUCCUACAAAACUGGAGUUUGCCUACUCUGUGCCUUUGAGAGUUUUGGAACAGCAUGCAAGUUCACGUCGCCAUCACGUUAUCCUGCUGACUGUCUCAUGUGACGAGACCGACACCCGGGUCGCUUGCUUCUGCCCUUGUUCUUCUGCCUGUUGUCCCCUCUGCAGCCAUUGAGCACACGCACGUGUUGUCACGCAAAAGCCGUUUUGCUGUUUUUAUUUGUCUUGUGAAUGUUGUCAUUUGCUUCGUGCGUAUCACGAAUUAGUGUCGUGUACUGCUCAGUGAUCUAAAACUGUCACUAAUUAGAAAUUUGCGUUGAGUCUGGGUAGGAAUGGCACCCAAGCAGAAAAGCAAGAGUGCAGGUGCUAGAAGAGCAAAGAGGGCAAGAAAAGUGAUGUUUGCAGCAAACGAAAUGAAAGUUCUCGAAAUGCUCAAUAAUGGUGAAACCAAGACCUCUCUAGGGCCCUUUUUUCCCUUUUUUUGGCAUUAAUAAAUCUAUGAUUUGCACAAUAAAAAUAAGCUAUUAGGGCCAAUCAAUCGAGGGGCACGCUAGAAUCAUCAAGAACAUCAUACGUAACGUGAAAUGCCAACACAGAGACCAUGGAAAAGAUGUGCACGUGUGGCUUCUAACCCAGAGAGAGCUGCAUAGGCCUCCUCCUGUAGGCGUAAUCUGCCAGCGAGCAUCACAAAAACGCAAGUUUCAAUUUUCAUCUGGACAAAAGGUUACAACAUUCACUGUGAGUAAAGGGUGGUUGGCUAGGUUUAAGAAAUGCUGUGGUCUGUCUGAAAAGAAAUGGUCGGCAGAGGAAGCAGAUCAUGAGGCUGCUGCUGGCUACCCUGAAUACCUGAGGGAACGGAUUGAGGGAAAUGGCUGUUUCUUCAGUGCUGACGAAAUGGCCCUGUUCAGGAAGUACAUGCCUACUUGCACACCUUUUGCAGAGGAUGAGAAAAAGACCGGAGGCUUCAAGCCUGGAAAGGACAAGCUCAAAGUUCUGUUUCGUUCCAACGGUUCUGGUGAUUGAUUAAACCCACAUUGCUUCACAGAUUGCGAAGUCCUUGCCCUCUUAAAAGAGAAUGCUAGAAACACUUUUCUGUUUACAUGAAGGGAAACCAUAAAGUAGGGAUCACUGAGAAACUCUUUUUGGGCCAGUUUUUGAAGUCUUCAUUCCUGAGGUUAGACAAUAUUUAAACCAAAAAAAAAAAACAACAAAAAACCUUGAAUUCAAAGUUGCUGCUUUUGGACACCUGCUCCUACUGCCAAAAGUGCGAUAGUAAAUGCUGAUCCUUGUGUUCCAGUCACCUCCACCCCCCAGUACAACUCCACUCCUUCAACCCAAGCAUCUGGGAGUGCUGAAAAUUGUUUGUGAGGUACUGUGCUUGGCGUAUGUUUGAUUACCUUGCAGAUCGUAUGAGGGAGACGUCAGAACUGACUGUGAAAGUAGCUUGACAAAAUCUCCCCAUUUGUAAUGCUUUAACAAUAGUGGAAGAAUCAAUGCGAGAAAUAACACAGGCAACCCUUAAUGGAGCCUGGCACAAACUUGGGAAUGAGGUUGUAAUGGACUCUGAAAGUUUUCUCCCAGUGGUAGACGAAAUUGAAAAGGUUGUAGCAUCUGCAAAACAUUUGGGUGGCGAAGGAUUUGAAGACAUUGAUUUAAGUGACAUUUUGCUGAAGUGUUAGAUUCUCACCCUCAGAAGAUAGUUGAGAACUUUUUCAGAGAUGUGAUCACAUCAAAAGUUGAUACCACAGGUCAGCAUAGGUUAACAUCCAGAACUCAAAGAAUGUAGGAGCAGCUGUUCCACAAGUCAAAUUGCUGCGAUGAUUCAGAGGAGAGAGAUCUUUCGAUGGAAUAUUUAUUGACCUGAAGGCAAGAUUUAAACGAUUACCCACAACCCUAUAAAGCAGUAAUAAGAAACCUUCAAAUGAAGGCCAAUAAGUCUUUCUCUCUGUUUGCUUCAACAGGGAAGAAGAGGCUGGACCUUCGGGCCAUGUCAUUCAAACCCAUUCUGCAAACAGCAGGCAGAAAGGCCACACACAGAUAGUUGAACCUUGGGAUUCAGACUCCAACAGCUCUGAUGAUGUGGUGAUCCAAGUGCUGGAAGAGGAAAGUAGAACGGAAGGUUGAGCUUACUUCUCUCCAGACACAACCCAAUUGUCUUGAUUCUUUCCCUAUCACUACUGUGACGACCAGCAUUUUCACUGACGCAUGAUUGUCCUGACUUUGAGAUCAGAGAGAAACAGAAAUCGGUUGCCCAGUCAUCACUAUUACUGAUGUGAAAUUAGUAAUACCAACAAGAUUCACUUUACUUAGUGCCUUAUUUCAGCGAACAGACCAAGUGUCUGGGCUGUCAUAAUACCCACUUCCCUGCUGCAAUUACCCCCUGAGGCUCAUAAGUCCCUGCAACACAGAUUCCUCUACAGUGAGGGUCCAGGAAGUCAACUCUAAUACGUAGGGAGGGGGGUUACUCUAUGUGGUUGGACAACUUGAUUUUGUACUCUUGAUACUGACAUUUAUUUUAAUCUUACUUAAGCCUAAUUUGCCAUUUUGACAGAAAGAAUCUAGACUCAUUCGUUUGGUAUCAGUUAAUUUGUUUUCCAGCAGUUGUAGAUGUAGCCAUUGGUCAGUCCUUAAGGCAGUGCGUUUAAAAUGCAUUCUGGGAUUUACUCUUGGUAUCUACUCAAGGAGUAAAAGCUGCCAGAGUUCAUCUCCAUUGAUCCGCUC